rnacentral:lncRNA from 1 species
UAUUACACAACACAGCUAUUUCAGGAAACCUUCCUCCGCUAUUUUUGAAAACUUCUCACCAUAAUAUUAUCAUUAUUAUUUCUUUCAAAAACUUUCAUAACUUUUCAAAUCUCUCUCUCUCUAUCCGGUCGUCACGCGUCCAUCGGAGUAAAAGCCCUAGCAAUUUCUACACAUCAAAACUUUUCAAAUCGCUCUCUCUAUCCGGUCGUCACGCGUCCAUCGGAGUAAAAACCCUAGCAAUUUCUACACAUAUUCUCACCGUUUUUACUUCCCUUUGACUCAGAUCCUCACUCAUUCUUUACGUGAAUCUAGGGUUUUUCACUUUUCAACUCCAAUCUGCGACGAUCGCGUUGCGUGUUUUCUGUUUUGAUUUUUGAAGACAGUAAAAAUGGAGGCGAUCGAGGAAUUGGCACAACUAUCAGAUUCGAUGAAGCAAGCUGCGGCUUUGCUUGCCGACGAAGAUGUGGAUGAAACUUCUUCCAAACGGUCGUCCACUUUUCUCAAUGUCGUUGCUAUCGGUGGCACUGUAAGUUAUUUAAGUGAUUAGAUUUGCUAGUUGGUGCGUGCUGAUUCGAUCUGUGAAACUUGCUUUUUUGUGAUUCGUAUUACACUCCGACGAUCUAGGGUUGAAUUAAAACAAUUGGAGUUCAGCUAAGAGUUAGUUGAUAAUAAACUCGAAAAGAAGUAUUUGUGGUAGUUGAGAUUACAAUCUUUUCGAGGGAAAUUUUACUAUUAGUUGACUAGUGGUGGAUCUAAUGUAUGAAGUUGAUAUUCUCUGUAUUUUGUUAGCCUUUUUUGUGUUUUGUUUCGAUUUGGUUUUGUAGAUGCUUGCUUCAGUUUAUUGUCAGCGAAUGUUGCAUUGAAUAAGCUGAAAUUAUUCAAUAUUAAGGUGACUGGCUAUUUCUCUUAAAAAAAUCCUUUCAUAGUUAUUGUAUCAAAGAUGUACAUAUGUCUCCAGAUAGUUUCUAACUAUCCUCUGUGUGAAGCAAAAAUGGAGAAUUGGUUCAGCCGUAAGUUGCUCGGAUUCUUCACUUGGGUGCCGCACCCGACACGAUGCGGGUGUGAUUGUGGAAUUCGUACCGGAUCUGGUCAAGUGAUUUUGGUGCGGAGAAAUUUGGGACAUAUACAAUGAUUUUUGAAAUCAAAGUAAAAGCUAGGGUUAAAUUGAAGAAAAUGUAAUACUUUGUAUAUAGAAAUUUCUAUGCCAGGCAUUUUAUUUUUAUCUCAUUCUUGGAUUUUCCUUUUGAUCAGUAUUUUCUCUUUCUCGGAAUAUCUUGUAAAAUUUUCGCAUACAAUAACAACAACAACCCGGUAUAAUCCCACUUGGUGGGGUCUGGGGAGGGUAGUGUGUACGCAGACUUUACCCCUACUCUUGGGUAGAGAGGUUAUUUCCAAAUAGACCCCGGACAUCCUUCCCUCCAAGAACUUCCCACCUUGCUCUUGGGGAGANNNNNNNNNNNNNNNNNNNNNNNNNNNNNNNNNNNNNNNNNNNNNAAGAACUUCCCACCUUGCUCUUGGGGAGAUUCGAACUCACAACCUCUCGGUUGGAAGUGGGGUUGCUUACCAUCAGAGCAACCCUUCUUGUCAUAAAAUUUUCGCAUAAUGUCGCAUAAUUUAGACAUAGUUUCAAACUUUAUUUUUGGAUAUUUGAAUUAGUUUUAGGCGAAUUGUUGCCCCCGUAUCCAUACCCCAAAUCUUAAAGUUUAAAUCAAGAAAGAUCCGACCUCUAGAUUUACACACAUGUAUCGGACACCCUUACCCGAGUCCGAGCAACUUAGGUUCAGCCUGUUAAAGGGUGUACAAUUAGCUGGAGCAUAUAUUUUGAGUAAUGUCUACCUUUCUAAUGUUUUAUACAGAGUUGCUACCUAAAAGCAAUUAUUCUAUCACAUAAAGCGACAAUGUGAUGCGAGUUCAGUAGUUGCAGAGCUGGGAAUUUUUAUUAUGGGAUUAAAACAAUGUAAAAAUGUCAUAGCAUAGGUAAUUAUGAGCCAUGAAGAUUUAUAUAUGAAGUUCAAGGAAAAGUGGAGGCGAAGAAGGCGGCGUUUGCUUAGUUGGCAGGGAGCACAAGCGAGGAAGAACGGAGAGCGAACAACGAGAUCUACAAGGUGGCGAGGAAAGAAGCAAAGCUGGCGAUUACGGAAGCUAAAAAAGCGGCGUUUGGUCGCAUGCACGAGGAAUUAGGGGAGAAAGACGGGGACAUGAAGUUAUUCCGGUUAGCUAAAGCAAGAGAAAGGAAGGCGCGUGAUCUUGACCAAGUUAGGUGCAUCAAGGGCGAGGAUGACAGAGUUCUGAUGGGGGAGUCUCAAGCCAAGCAGAGGUGGCAGGCGUACUUCCGAGACUUACUUAACGAGAAGGGGAUUGUAACAUAGAGCUAGGGGAGUUGGGGCAUUCAGAGCAGCAUAGAGACCUUGGGUACUGCCGGCGCAUUAGGGCGGAGGAGGUCAUGGGGGCUUUGCGUAGGAUGAGUAGGGGUCGAGCGACCGGCCUGACGAGAUCCCAGUGGAGUUCUGAAAAUGCAUGGGUAGGUUAGGAGUGGAGUGUCUCUCCAGGUUGUUUAAUGCGAUCUUCAGGACCAAAAGGAUGCCGGAGGAGUGGAGUGGAGGUGGACUACAGUGGUGCCCUUAGACAAGAACAAAGGGGACAUCCAGUGUUGCAACAACUAUAGGGGUAUCAAAUUAAUAAGUCAUACCAUGAAGGUCUAGGAGCGGGUGAUCGAGGUGAGGGUGUGGGAGAUGACAUCUACAUUUGUGAACAGGUUCAAUUUCAUGCCGGGUCGCUCCACUGCAGAAGCUAUCCACCUUGUCAGGAGGCUGGUGAAGCAGUUCAGGGAUAAGAAGAAGGACCUGCACAUGGUGCUUAUCGACUUGGAGAAGGCGUAUGACAAGGUCCCAAGGGAGGUGCUUGGAGGCGAAGAGCNNNNNNNNNNNNNNNNNNNNNNNNNNNNNNNNNNNNNNNNNNNNNNNNNNNNNNNNNNNNNNNNNNNNNNNNNNNNNNNNNNNNNNNNNNNNNNNNNNNNNNNNNNNNNNNNNNNNNNNNNNNNNNNNNNNNNNNNNNNNNNNNNNNNNNNNNNNNNNNNNNNNNNNNNNNNNNNNNNNNNNNNNNNNNNNNNNNNNNNNNNNNNNNNNNNNNNNNNNNNNNNNNNNNNNNNNNNNNNNNNNNNNNNNNNNNNNNNNNNNNNNNNNNNNNNNNNNNNNNNNNNNNNNNNNNNNNNNNNNNNNNNNNNNNNNNNNNNNNNNNNNNNNNNNNNNNNNNNNNNNNNNNNNNNNNNNNNNNNNNNNNNNNNNNNNNNNNNNNNNNNNNNNNNNNNNNNNNNNNNNNNNNNNNNNNNNNNNNNNNNNNNNNNNNNNNNNNNNNNNNNNNNNNNNNNNNNNNNNNNNNNNNNNNNNNNNNNNNNNNNNNNNNNNNNNNNNNNNNNNNNNNNNNNNNNNNNNNNNNNNNNNNNNNNNNNNNNNNNNNNNNNNNNNNNNNNNNNNNNNNNNNNNNNNNNNNNNNNNNNNNNNNNNNNNNNNNNNNNNNNNNNNNNNNNNNNNNNNNNNNNNNNNNNNNNNNNNNNNNNNNNNNNNNNNNNNNNNNNNNNNNNNNNNNNNNNNNNNNNNNNNNNNNNNNNNNNNNNNNNNNNNNNNNNNNNNNNNNNNNNNNNNNNNNNNNNNNNNNNNNNNNNNNNNNNNNNNNNNNNNNNNNNNNNNNNNNNNNNNNNNNNNNNNNNNNNNNNNNNNNNNNNNNNNNNNNNNNNNNNNNNNNNNNNNNNNNNNNNNNNNNNNNNNNNNNNNNNNNNNNNNNNNNNNNNNNNNNNNNNNNNNNNNNNNNNNNNNNNNNNNNNNNNNNNNNNNNNNNNNNNNNNNNNNNNNNNNNNNNNNNNNNNNNNNNNNNNNNNNNNNNNNNNNNNNNNNNNNNNNNNNNNNNNNNNNNNNNNNNNNNNNNNNNNNNNNNNNNNNNNNNNNNNNNNNNNNNNNNNNNNNNNNNNNNNNNNNNNNNNNNNNNNNNNNNNNNNNNNNNNNNNNNNNNNNNNNNNNNNNNNNNNNNNNNNNNNNNNNNNNNNNNNNNNNNNNNNNNNNNNNNNNNNNNNNNNNNNNNNNNNNNNNNNNNNNNNNNNNNNNNNNNNNNNNNNNNNNNNNNNNNNNNNNNNNNNNNNNNNNNNNNNNNNNNNNNNNNNNNNNNNNNNNNNNNNNNNNNNNNNNNNNNNNNNNNNNNNNNNNNNNNNNNNNNNNNNNNNNNNNNNNNNNNNNNNNNNNNNNNNNNNNNNNNNNNNNNNNNNNNNNNNNNNNNNNGCCUCUCUGUCCUUUCGGGUAGGGGUAAGACCCGUCUACAUAUUACCCUCCCCAGACCCCACUUUGUGGGACUAUACUGGGUAGUUGUUGUUGUUGAAGAUUUAUAUGAACAUCAUUUGAUCCCAUUUAUUUGAACAUCAUUGAUCCCAUUUCUAGAGAUGGAAAAAAUGGUGAGACUUCAUAAAAUUUGGUAGAACCUCUUGGUAUUACCAUUGUUUCAGUGCCUUUCAUCAUAAUAUAUGUUCACUUAUACCUCAAUUUAUAAAAGCAGAAGAAAAAAAUUAAUUAGUGCUGAAUGGAACUUAUACAUUGUUUCAUGGCUUAUUUCAUUCAAUCAAUUUAGAAGAUAUUUUGGAUAAUUUCUAGAGAAUGUUGAUAGGUAUAAAUUAUUCUUGACUUGGCAAUGCAUACUCUUUUGAACUGCUUGUCUAGAGCAUUAGUAAUUUGAUUGAGUUGUGAGAUUGACGAUGUGGAUGAUACUAUUGAAUGUCUGUUCAUUAAAAGAAAGUCUUUUUUGUGACAGGGAUAUGACUGUCUGUUUAGCUGCAUGGUCUUGUUUAUUGUGAACUUUUGUGCAUGAGGUGUUAAUACACAAAUUGCUCUGUCAAUUGUUGUGAAGAUAUUGAUGCAUUAAGCUGUGCAAACUUUUUACAGGGGGCAGGUAAAUCAGCUGUACUUAACAGUCUAGUUGGACAUCCAGCUCUGGUAUGGUUUUCUCGCUGUGCAAUUGGAAUGCUAUUGUUCACAUCUUAUUUUUCCUGGUGAACUCUUAAUCCCAAGUUUCCAAAUCGUAGUGCUUUUGAUGCCUAAUACGAUCCUUAUAUUCGCAGCCAACAGGUGAAGGUGGUGCUACUCGUGCCCCCAUAUGCAUCGAUCUAAAACGAGAUAGUUCGUUGAGCACUAAGUCAAUUGUUUUGCAGAUCGACAGUAAAUCACAGCCAGUGUCUGCAAGUAAGUUUCUUAGAGAUCUCGUGGGUUUAUGAGGAAUGCUAGUCUUUUACAUGAAUGAAAAGCUGAUCCCUGAAGCAAGAGAAUGGAUAAUCUACCAGUUCUUGUGUCUAAUAAAUAGAUUAACAUUUUUUGUUUUAUCGGUGCAGGUGCUCUUCGACAUUCUUUACAGGAUAGACUUAGCAAAAUUUCAAGCAAAAGUCGUGAUGAAAUAUAUUUGAAGCUACGAACAAGCACGGGUUAGAAACUUAACACUUGUAAAGCUACCUAUAAUGGGUUCCUGGCUUUCCUAAGAGACUUAAUUGGAGACACUUGUAAACCUACCUAUACUGGGUUCCUGGCUUUCCUUUGAUUUACCUUUUCUUUUUACUGCAUACAGCCCCACCAUUGAAGCUGAUUGAUUUGCCUGGGGUUGACAAGGGAAACCUUGAUGAUUCAUUGGUGAGUAUUUAUACAAAUAUGAUGGUCAAAUUUGUCAGAUACCGUAGACGUCAUUUUUACCGAGAUAUCUUUUGAAACAGACUGAAUAUGUUGAGCACAAUGAUGCCAUAUUGCUGGUCGUAAUAUCUGCUGCUCAGGCACCUGAAGUUGCUUCAUGUAAAGCUAUCAGAAUUGCGAAGGAGUAUGAUAGUGAAUGUAGGUCUAUAUCUCCCAGAAUGUUUUAUGUCUUCCAGAGAUAAGAAAGAGUGAAAUGGGCAUUUUCUAUUUGUAGCUGCUCAUCCAUAAUCACACUGUCUGUUAAUUAUAUGAAACGCUACACAUGUUUGCUUAUUUCUGUUCCAUUAGGUACCAGAACAGUCGGUGUUAUUAGCAAGAUAGAUCAAGCAGCUUCAGAGCCAAAAGUGCUUGCGGCUGUUCAAGCUCUUUUGUCCGGUCAAGGACCACGAAGUACAGCUGAUAUCCCCUGGGUUGCCUUGAUUGGUCAAUCUGUUUCAAUAGCUUCUGCCCAGUCUGGAAGUGUUGGGUCUGAUAACUCAUUGGAGACUGCAUGGCGAGCUGAGAGUGAAAGUUUAAAAUCUAUUUUGACAGGAGCUCCUCAAAGUAAGCUUGGUAGGUUAGCAUUGGUCGAGACCCUUGCUCACCAGAUACGCAAUAGAAUGAAAGUCAGACUUCCAAAUCUGCUUUCUGGGUAAUCUCACCUGCUUGAAUGCCUCUACUGUUUUUUCAUAUGAAGAUCUAACUAUCCAUUUCACUUUUUCUUUAUCAGCACAAGCUAUUGAUUGUGAAAAAUUGGUGUUAAAUCUCUUUGUUUUAGCUACACCAUAGUUUCGAAUCAAACCAAUUCUAUCUUAAAUUAGAAUUUGUCUAAUUUGGAAGUAAAAUUAUCUUUAUCAUUUUCGAGGUACUGCAAAUCAUACUCUUAUUGUUAUUUCUAAAGCUGGAAAAAACUGUUAUGCUAAUAGGGAAGUGCUUGAAAAGUUAAGGCGAGCCACUUAAUUUUUGAGCAAUCAGGAAAUAAGGUGAUAGCGAGUAUCUGUUGGUAGUGUGAGUUGAUUUUCAGAGAAGAAUAAGAUAGCUCUUUUAAGAAAGAUCUGGAUUAUUUACAUUGUCAAAUAAAAUAGAGAAUUUAGGUUUUCUUAAUUACCUUCCUACUAAUAUUUGAUAUGAUUGGUGACACAAUGCCCUUUACAAGAUUUUUAUUUUUAUAAUUUUUUAGGAAAACUAUCAAAGUGAUUGGAUUUGUCCCAAUUCCUCCAUCCGUAUAAUGCCAUUAUUAAUUAAACUUUCUCUCUCGAAUAUGGGUGAAUAUUGGUGUUUUCUGAUCGUUAUGCUUACUUAUAUCAUGUAUCGACCCUUUCUUUUUCCUUAAUUGAUGUCAAGUUGUCAACUGAUGACUCUUAGAUGCUUUAAAGAUCGAUUUAGUUCUGGACAGAAGAUCAAGGUGGACUGUAUAUUUUUUCACUUUCGGUGUAUAGAAGCCCUUGUAGAAGAUGCGAAGUCUAUAGCUGACAUCAUUGUGGGCCUUGUAACCACCACACGUUUUUGUUCUUUUUUGGGGCUCUUGUAACUUUAUUUUCUUUUACCACAAUCUUUGUGAAUAAUGCUACUUUAACUUUUUUGUAAAAUAUGUUACCUUCUCAAAAAAAAAUUGUGUGCCAUCUAUUUAUUCAUACUUGCGAGUUCGCUCCUGCAGGCUUCAGGGGAAGUCUCAAGUUGUACAGGAUGAGUUGGUUAGGCUUGGGGAGCAAAUGGUUAAUAGUGCUGAAGGUACCAAAGCCUUGGCACUUGAGCUUUGCCGUGAAUUUGAGGAUAAGUUUCUGCUGCAUAUCACUGGCGGCGAGGUGGGUAAAAUAUAAGAGAACUCUUAAUUUUUUUAUUCAGUCUUUGCAAUUGCAAUACCCAAUAUUUUGAUACUACUUUUUGGUUGUAGAUUCUUUUAUUCAGUCUUUGGAAUUGCAAAUACCCAAUAUUUUGAUACUACUUUUUGGUUGUAGAUUCUCGUUGUUUGGCAACUAGCUUGUAUUUAUGAAGGUUUACCUGCAAAGAAAUUUGGUAUACCCUUACUGAGAAAAGUACAGUGCUUGUAUUAUUCAAUAUAUUGUGCUUAUCAAGACUGUUGAAAAUUGUGUACCUAAUGCGCACAGUUCAAGAAUAUAUGAACACGCCGAGGAAUGUCAGGAUUAUCCAUAUAGAUUUACUGUUUGGAUUAAGAAAAUCCUCUUUGGUAGAUAUGAUAGCGAUGUCCAUGCUCCAAUUAUAAUUUUUUGCAUGUAAUUUUUGAGUUCUCUUUUUUUCUGUUUGUCUCUUUGUGUAAUUAUUUUCUUCAUCUCUUAAAUACCUAAAUCAAUCUGCUUCCUACGCUGUUGCUCAUCCUAUGUUUUCUAUGUGCUGCAUUAUCUGUCAUAUAUGGACUUUGUUUAACGUACUAUGUGUCCUACGUAACCCAUACACAGCAUGAUUUGGGCUAUAGGGUGUCUUUUUUUGACUAAUCAUGAUGUAGGGUGUCUUUUUGUCUUUUUCAUGCUCCAAUUGUAAUUUUUUACAUGUAAUUUUUGACUUCUCUUUUUUUUUUUUUCUGUUUGUCUCUUUGUGUAAUUAUUUUCUUAAUCUCUUAAAUACCUAAAUCAAUCUGCUUCCUACGCUGUUGCUCAUCCUAUGUUUUCUAUGUGCUGCAUUAUCUGUCAUAUAUGGACUUUGUUUAAUGUACUAUGUUGUCCUGCGUUACCCAUACACAUCAUGACUUGCGUGGUAGGGUGUCUUUUUUGACUUAGCCCCCNNNNNNNNNNNNNNNCCCCCCCCCAAACCAAAAAAGAUAAACAAGGAAAGAAAAGAGUUGUCCCUUUGAUAUAUAUGUUACAAUACAUCUGUUAUAUAGUUAGGGUUCUUAAAUUCUUCAUCAUGCAUUCAGAUUUUAGAGAUUUUUCGUUUCCUUCAGGGUGAAGGAUGGAAAGUGGUUACAAGUUUCGAGGGGAACUUCCCUAAUAGGAUAAAGCAGCUCCCCUUAGAUAGACAUUUUGACAUAAACAAUGUCAAGCGGGUAUUUAUUUUCCACCAAUGUACUUUUCAAUUAUGUGCAUUUUCUCCUAUACCGCCGACUGCAAGUUUUCUCUUUGUUUAUUUGGUAAUUGUUUUUGCUUGCCACCAGAUUGUGUUAGAAGCCGAUGGUUAUCAGCCUUACCUGAUUUCUCCCGAGAAAGGGUUGAGGUCUUUGAUAAAAGGUGUCCUGGAGCUUGCAAAAGAACCUUCACGUCUUUGUGUUGAUGAGGUAAAUUCUAGUUAUUUCAGCUCUUGGUUUUGGUUUAGUCAUUUGUUUUUUGUUCAUUGUUCUUCAUGUGCAUUGUAUCCUUCUGUAAAUCUAUGUGGAUUUGCUUCAAUGCAUUCUGUUAAUAAAUUAACUCAUUAGUUUAGAUACAUAAUCACCAAAAAUUAUAAAAGGUACCACGCACUACAUUAAAGAGCCUCUAACUUUUAUCAUUAUGCAGUAUGAAUGAGUCUCAAACCGUAUAUUCGCCCGGAAGAAGUGGCAACGUCUUUUUCUUCUUUGCCUUUUGGAGUUGUCCUGAUGUUUUAUGUUUUUACUUUGUGAGUUUGGUUUUUUUAUAACCGUGGUUUCGAGACAAGUUUGCUUGCUCCUUGCGAAUAAUUACACGAGAUACAUUCUACCUCCCACUAGUAAUAGAUAAGAGGUAACUCUGUCCACCAAGUCUCGGACAGAUGGAUGUGAUCAGAUUGUGUUUUUGCCUACACUAGAAUUUUAACGUGAAACCUUAUAGUUUUCAACCCACUUCAUUAGCCAUUAGGCCACACCAUUGGGUGCCUGUGAGCUUGGGAUAUUAACAUUGUAAUUUAUUAUUUUAAAUUAAAUGAAAAUAACAAUAAGUGAGGCUUGAUAAGAAGGAUUUUCAAGUACCUUGGGUAUGUAAUCAAGGUAGUGAGGAGAGUGAGGAUGAUGUCACACAUCGUAUUGGAGCGGGAUGGUUGAAAUGGAGGCUUGCAUCUGGUGUUUUGCGGUUGGUCUUGUAGGUUUCAUCCUUGGCUUUUAUGAGAGUUGAUGGUGUGGAGUAUGGAAACCUAGAAAGUGAUGUGGUUUCAAGAGUUAUGGAAGAAGUUGAGUGUUUUCUCCAAGGAAGGUUGAGCAUGGAAGUUUAAUUAAGCAAUUUGUUGGAUUAUUGUUCGACGGGGCUAUGAGAUGGGAGAAAUGGUGCCUAGUUGAUCUUUAUUGUGCAUAGUUUGGGUUUCUGGCGUAAUUUGACGUGGAUGGUAUUAAAAGUGAUACUUUUUGAGUGUUUUUUUUGCUUUUUCCUUGUGUGGUAGUGGCUUUGAUCAUAGAGGUGAAACAGAAGACAAAUAUGGAAGGAUAGCUCUAGGCUUUGGAUCGACAAUGAACGUAGUGGUUCAUGUAGUUGAUGGGUGAACUUGGAAGUGGUAAAGGAAGAUGGUAACUGAAUUUUCCAAAGCAUACGACACCUUUCUGUAUUGUGAAUAGUCAAUGAGAGGUGGUUGUGCAAUCCAUCUGCUUCUCUUACAGCUGGUUUGGAUGGUUGUUGCCCGUUGUAUCGUAUUUUAUUGCUAUCCCAAAGCAAUGUUUGUUUUGAUUGUUUAUUUAAAAUUGAUUGUAUCGUAUUGUUAAAUCUAUUAUUCUGGAACAACCAAAAGCCUCAUUUUAUGAAACAACCGAUUUGGUGUGGUGGAAUCGUUUCCUAUAUUAUUUUUCAGUUACGCCCCUACUUAUUACUCCAUAAUUCUAUUUAUCCUUACCAUUUUUCUAUUUUAACUCCAAAUCUCCAACCUAUUGACCUGCAUUGUCUUCUUCCAUCUUUUCUAGAGUUGGUUUGCCCCAUUCUUUUUAUCCAAGUCUCUGUUUGAUUCUGUCUCUUUCCAUCGUUUUAAUUCUUUUUGUUGCUAAUUAUUACUCCCUUCGUUUCAUAUUAAAUGAGGUAGUUUGAAUCAACACAGAGUUUAAGAAAAAAGAAGAAGACUUUUGAAACUUGUGGUCUUAAAAGCUUAAGGGGUAAAAAGUUUGUAGGGCCAUGACAUUUGUUUGGCUAAAAGAGCUUCUCAUUAAGGGUAAACGAGUAAAAUAAAAGAGUUUAAAGUUGAAUUAUUUUCAAAUUUAGAAAUGUGUCAUUUAUUUUGGAAUAGACUAAAAAAGAAAGUACCUCAUUUAAUAUGAAACGGAGGGAGUAGUUAACUUUUUUUCAGGUUUUUGCUAUUGUUUCCAAGCUACACAAUUAAUGAUAAAUUAAUAGAAAUAGGUUUUCUUAAAUUAUUUUUAUGUGUAAUUUUUGGUAAAUUUUAUUUAAAACAAUUACGGUUAUUUUAGUAAAUUUAUCAGCUACAAUACAAUAUGAUACAAUCAAAUUAAACAACAAAUGAUACAAUUUAUUCAAACGUUGUAUCCAUAAGACGGUACGAUACAAUAGAGUACAAUACAAUACAUUAUAAAACGAUGGUUAACAAUGAUCCAAACAUAGUGUUAAGGGAUGAUGACUUGUGAGAGCCAAGCCGUCAAGAACUCUGAAUUCUCAAAAAGUUUUUAUCUGCCUGUUGGUACAUGGUGGGAAUAGGAUGCCAAGGGGCCGAUGAAAGAAGAUGGUGUUUUACGAGUGCGACUUCUUUGUGACUAUCCAAAAAAGAAAGUGGUUCUCUUUGAAUUUGGGCUUGUAGCUCUAUGAAGACGCAUGGCAUUGUGUUCUUUGGAAGGAAAGGUAUAGGAGAGCCUUGAAGGGUUAAAAAGCACUUUGUACAUUAGAGGAAUAGCCUCAUGAUUUUGGUGCACCCACAAGGUUCCUGUUAGUAUAGUUGAUUGGAUGUCUUUCAUAGAUAACUACAAUCUUUGUGGUUUCUCUAUUUUUCGGCACACUGCUAGUAUAUGGGAACAUUUCCCAAAUCUAUAAAAUUAUUACUGUCAAAAAUAUUUGGGCUCUUCACUGUUGAGUUCCAUCUCUAAUAUAUUUCUCUAUUUUGCUAUCCAAAAAAGAGAAAGAAAAAUGAAAAAAAAUGAAGCAGUUUUCUAUGCAGUUUUGUUCUAAUUCUAACUCUCUAUGUGAAACCUCUACAUAGGUGCACCGUGUACUUGUUGAUCUUGUCUCCUCUGCUGCAAAUGCCACACCUGGACUUGGACGAUAUCCUCCUUUCAAGAGAGAGGUAAUGAUGUUUAGCAACUCCAGAUUCUCCUUUCUAGUUUUUAUGAACACAUACAAAUGUUUGUGGCAGCUAUGACGACUUUCAAUGAAAAUAUUUACUCGGUUAUACUAGGUUGUAGCAAUUGCUUCUGCUGCAUUGGAUGGGUUUAAAACUGAUGCCAAGAAAAUGGUAGUUGCCCUUGUCGACAUGGAGCGAGCUUUUGUCCCUCCUCAACACUUUAUCCGCUUGGUGCAGAGGAGGUAUGUUUGAUGAUUGUCUGAGAAUUUAAUACUUGUUUUCAUUUCUUAUAGUACCCCUAUCAAAUACUUUUAUAGCAUGUCUGCAUGUAAUUUGUUAAUAUUUCAUCAUGUUGGUCCCUGUUAGAUGAUUGGUCCCUGUAUCUUAAGCUUAUUGUUUUGUGAUACCAGAGUUCAUGAUGAUCUAUGAGAUUGUACUGUUGUUGACAUAGAUAUUGUAAUAUCGGGAAAAUUGAUUGCAAUAAGCAGGAAAUAUAAUGCACUUUUGGUGUAGCUAAUAGAGUUGGAAUUCUGAAAUAACUUUGAAUGUUGUGGCUUCAAUGGUUGAACACAUGCUUGUGUUCUUUUUUUGUUCACUUUCAUUAUCUUUUUGGUGCUCAAUUAUUGGAUGUGGUUGAUACUGCACUUCACUUGUUUAGAGGUUCUUGUUUCAUGCAAAGCAAAGCUUUAAAUCUCGCUAUGACAAAUGCUAAGUGGAGACAUAAGAAUGCAUAUCCUCCAUUUAUAAUAACCAUCUGUGAACCUCCUUCAAUCACAAGCAGCAAUGUAUCCUCCCGGGGAUGCACAGGCCCUCGGCAAGGAGUUUCCCGCAAGUGCACCACGGUUAAUUUAGGUUUUACGUAGUCCAAUGGCUCUCAGAAAUUGUUUGCACCCAAUGAGUUUCGAACUUGGGACUUUGAAAGGGAGCAAACCCCAAGGCUCAAGUCAAUUGCGACCAGGCCAACCCCCGAGGGUUGCAAUGUAUCCUUUUCUUCUGGAAAAAAAUCUCUCUCUCUGCUUCUACUCCCUUUUGCUUUCUGUAUAUGCCAGCUCAAUGAGCCACAUGGGCCAGUAUGAAGACGUGCAAAACAUGUUGGUGUUAGUUCUUUGUAGCUACUAAUAGUUUUUAUAUGGCCAAAUCCUGAUGCACAAAUUAUAUUGCAUGUCUAAAUGUGAGCGGAAAAAUUGAAAGAAGUACAAUUAAUCUUUUUUAUUUAUUUAUUUUUGCAUCUUUACGGAUUAUUUGAGGUCAAUCUUUUCAUGGCACUGCUUUUCUUCCCAGGGAUCAUUUGCUUUGCUUUUCUUGGGUUCUUUUACUCAGUGUAGAGAGAUAACAUUGGGGAAAUAAAGAUGGUUGCUUCCAGUGUUCUUUCCUAAAAAUAUGUUCUUCUUUUCUUAAAAUUGCUGUAUUUGUUGGUUGGGUUACUGACAAGUAUAGCAGGUAAAAACAUACUCAUGUUUAACAAAAUUAAAGCAUUCUCACAACGUCUAUGCGGCUCUUUUCCAGAAUGGACAGACAGAGACGAGAAGAUGAGCUAAAAAAUCGGGGUUCGAAGAAGGCACAUGAAUCAGAGCAAGCAAUAUUGAAUAGGGUAAUCUAGAUUCUUUUUGGAUGAGCUAAAGAAUCGGGGUUCGAAGAAGGCACAUGAAUCAGAGCAAGCAAUAUUGAAUAGGGUAAUCAAGUUUCUUUUUCCCAAACGCUUAAGACUAUUAUCUCAUUCAACUCAUUAUGAUGUUUUGCAAAGCAUUGCCUUAGGAACUUUACCUUUUUAUUCUUUUAAAUUAGUUUGUCUUCUCCGUAUGCAUUUCUAUGUUCUGCAAUUUUUCACUUAAGCUUAUUAGUUGUCUUCUCUGUACUGUCUUCUAAGUGUCUUUAAUUAUUGAUUUAGGCAACUAGUCCUCAAACUGGAGCCCAGCAAGGUGGAGGAAGCUUGAAAUCUAUGAAAGAAAAACCCAGCCAGCAGGACAAGGAUGCAUCAGAAGGCUCGGCUUUGAAAACAGCAGGGCCUGAGGGAGAAAUUACAGCUGGUAUCCAUUUCUUUAAAUAUAUUUCAUGUUUUAGGAAGUUUGUUUCCUGUGUUCCCUUUUAGAUGAGAGUUAUCAUUAGUAUGAAUCAAAUAUAUUUCCUGUUUUAGGAAUUUUGUUUCCUGUGUUCCCUUUUAGAUGAGAGUUAUCAUUAGUAUGAAUUUGCAUACCUGGAGGCAAAGCCUAAAUACAAUACAUGUCGUAGUGUCACAUUUCUUUUGGUGUGAGUUCACCAUGUCUGUGUGUGGAGAGCUCGCAAGUAUAUUCAGCAAAUCAAUGGGGAUGUUUGUGCAUUCUGUUCUUUUUGAAAUUGUUGUUUGACCAGCUGCCAAGGUCAAAGGUGGAUCAAUUCUAUAUUCUCCCGGUCGAUUUUCUCGGAACGUGUAACAUUUGUUUCUUUAAUAGGUUAAAACAUGGUUUUGAUACCAUUAGAAGCAGUAAUAUGUAGUAAUCUUGAAAAAUUGGUGGUAAUUGAUCCUUGCUUGUCUUCUAAUUACCUUUAGUUUAAAACUGUUAUUUAUCAAUAGCUUUUGUAACUGCCAGGUUUCUUAUUGAAGAGAAGUGCCAAAACAAAUGGGUGGAGUAAGCGAUGGUUUGUUUUGAAUGAGAAAACCGGAAAGGUUAGUAGGUGACACUCAGCAAUUUUUUACAUGAAUAGAUAUAACUUGGCCUUCUACUACCAACUUGAUAUAAACUAUCGACAUUGUAACAUAAUGUUAUACCUAAAGGCUUGUCAAAAUCUACAUCCUUUAACUGCAAAGACAAGUGUGGUGAAUUUUGGGAUUUUUCUCUUUUAUAAAAAAACAUAUUAAAAAACCUCAUCAAUAAUUUUGGAUUUUCUCAUUCACCAUAAGAAACUUAACCUAAAAAGCAGGAACAUUUACACGAGGCAUUAACUUUGUCGCUAUAGUGUUUCCUUUUAGAGCGUUUUAGUCAUAUUGGUUAUUCUCUUAAAGAAAAUUUGAACCCGGAGUUAAUUUCUGUGCGAACUAUGCUUAAAGUUUUGGUGACACCUCUAAUGUGAAAUCUCUUUUCAGCUUGGAUACACGAAGAAACAAGAAGAACGCCAUUUUCGUGGUGUCAUAACGUUGGAGGUACGUUAUGUCUUUGAUUUGCAAUAUGGGUUAUGGUUAUGGCUUAAACUUAAAUAUAUCCUUUGGCUUUUUCUUAAAUGCAAAUUAUAUUAUUUUGAACGUGGGCAUAACCAUAGAGAAUCUGCCAGAAAUACACGCACAAAAUUAUGAAUAGGCAAGGCCAUUAUGGAUACUCGAACAAAUUAGUGAUAAACAAGACCAUUUUUGAGUUCUAUCAUGAUUCUUCACUCCUUUCCCUUGGCUAUGGUUCACAUUCAAAAGUUUGUUGAUUUUCUUUCCAGUGGGGUUAAUGAAACAGCAUAUUCUCGAACUCCGUUUGCCUUAAGAUUCUUUUUUAAAGCUCUUCUCUGUUCCUUAAUUGCUUUGCUUUUUGUUUGAAUUCAUUAAACAAAAACCUCUCAUAAUUUGCUUCCAUAUUUAAGCUCAUCAAAGUUUCUCACAGUGCCACAUUCAGCGUCCCAAAUAGGCACUCUUUAAGGUCUGCAACAUUGACUCUUUCUAGACUAUCUCCAUUUUCAUGACCUAAUUGUCAGUGAUUGAAGUUGGUUUGCUUACUGCAGUCUUUGUUCACUGUAAUUUGAUGGACCAUACACUAUGAUUUGGCAUCACACUUAGUAAUUUGGCAGAAACCCCUAGCAUCAUUUUUACCACUGUUUUGGGUUACAUAGUCUUGUCCCCUAAUGCUUAUGCUGCUUCUAUAUAAAAGGCUAGUAUAUCGAACCCCUACUAGUUUUACUACAAUAACAUGGUCAUGUGAUACACAGGAAUGUAAUCUUGAAGAAGUUCCUGAUGAAGAAGAAGCUCCAGCACCUGCCAAAAGUUCCAAGGACAAAAAGGCAAAUGGGCCUGAUGUUGCAAAAGCACCCAAUCUUGUGUUUAAAAUAACGAGCCGGGUUCCAUAUAAAACAGUUUUAAAGGGUAUGCUAUCUCUGGAAUCCUUUGCUAUCUCCCUGUUUGUUUUGUUAUUUUGAAUAACUCAGAAGAAAAAAUAUAAUUGGUUGCAGCACACAGCGCUGUUAUCUUGAAGGCCGAGAGUGUGGCAGAUAAAAUGGAGUGGUUAAGUAAAUUGAGAACUGUCAUCAGCUCUAAAGGCGGUCAAGUUAAGGGUGAAUCUGGGCCACCUAUCCGACAUAGUCUUUCAGAUGGAUCUCUUGUAAGAAACUAUACAUUGAUUUCACUUGUGCUUCCAAAAAAGGGCCCUUGUUCAGCAAAGAUGUUGAUUUCACUUGUGCUUCCCCAAAAGGGCCCUUGUUCAGCAAAUAAUUAUCCUUUGCUUAUAAAACUUUUUCCUUGUGAUCUUCAUGUUUGUUUUUGUACUCUUCUGAUAGUUGUAUUUCAAGUCUCCUGUUGUGGUUUUCUUAAGCUGUGAACUAAUUUCCCCGACCACUUGGUUUUAGUUUAUUAAUUUUGCUGUGUUUUAGGAAACAAUGACUAGAAGACCGGUGGAUCCUGAAGAAGAACUUCGAUGGAUGGCUCAGGAAGUGCGUGGUUAUGUUGAAGCUGUUCUAAACAGUCUUGCAGCCAAUGUGCCAAAAGUCGGUCUUAAUCUUGCAUGCCCUGUACACUUCUCCUUGUUCAUUCGUGUAAAGCCAUCUCACAUGGUGCAUUGUUUAUUUGGUUUCAGGCAGUUGUUCUCUGCCAAGUAGAGAAGGCCAAAGAAGACAUGCUUACUAAAUUGUAUAGUUCUAUCAGGUAAACAGUCCAAAUUUUCCGUGCGGUUUUGUGUCUCAGCAUCUUUCAUCUGCUGUGGCAUGUUGUAUUUGCUUGUCUGACAGUAAGGAUGCAGUGGCAAAUGAUCGGGAUUUUGUUUCUCAACAUCUUUCAUCUGCUGUGGCAUGUUGUAUUUGCUUGUCUGACAGUAAGGAUGCAGUUGCAAAUGGUGACCACUUGGAACUGUGCUUUUCUUCAGCAAUUUGAACAGCCAUCUUUCUAAAAAAUUAUCAAAAGCUACAUAGAACUUAUCUCCUAUUUCAAUACGAAUUUUUCCUUUUAAUCUGUUACGCCACACAGCAAAGUUUCUAUUCUUUUUUUAAUAAAUUGGUAGAAGGAAAUAUAGACUUUCCUUUUGGCCAACAAGAGGAGUGGUAACAUGGAAACCUGCAGUUGCUGCAAGAACCUGUGUAUUAAACCAUCAUUCUUAGAGACCAUUUUUGUUUGUUUCUUCUGCGUUUAUUAUAUUGAGAAGUUCAUCUUGUCGGUAUUCGCCUGGGUAAGUGUGUUGAUAUUGUUUUGACUUGUUGGAUUUUAGUGCCCAAAGCACUGCAAAGAUUGAAGAGCUGCUCCAGGAGGACCAGAAUGUAAAACGAAGGAGAGAGCGCAUCCAGAAACAAUCUUCUCUUCUUUCUAAGCUUACUAGACAGCUCAGUAUCCAUGACAAUAGAGCAGCUGCUGCUGCCAGUUACGCAAAUGGUGAAGCAGGUAAUCAUCCCUUAUAGGUUGCUCAUUUGUUUUCCUUGUCUGAGGACAAUUGAAGUCCCACAAGUUUUAUUUGUUUUAUUACUUUGUUUGGGUUUGAGUGAAAAUGUUAAUUAUCUGUUAAAUUAGUUGAAACAAACUUCCCAUGUACUUUUGAAAGCAUUAUGCUUCUUAAAGUAUUUCUAUGAUUGCUGAUAGGUCUUAGUAGCUAAUACUUCAUGUUCAGCUAAUUUCCUUUUAGUUCCUGGCCAGCUUUAUGUGUCUUCCUUGUCUGGAUUCUGUUACACUCAAACUGCAAUCAAAGACUCUUUGCAGCAUGAUUUGGGUUAAAUUGAUGCCGGUGGUUAAUAGCACCACCUCUUUUUUUCCUCUACCUGAAACCCGUGGAUGCCAUAUCGGGUGUUGGCUUAUUCUUUCAUUUCUGCAGGUUUUGAUUUGUGAAAGACCAUAUUCUUGUCUUGUUGAGGUCUUUUAGAUUUUGCACUUUUCAAAUUCAUAUUGUGCGCUUUAUUUCUGCAGAAAAUAGCCCAACAGCAUCAGGCCCGUCAUCUGGUGAUGAUUGGAGAUCUGCAUUUGAUGCUGCUGCAAAUGGCCCUUCUAGUCUCUCUAGGUAUGGGUCAGGUGUUAGCAGUCGCCGCUACAGUGAGGCUGCUGAAAAUGGUAAUGCAAAUACACGCUCGAGUUCUGCUGGCCGUCGCACCCCUAACAGGUUGCCGCCUGGCCCACCGCAGUCUGGAUCUGGUUAUAGAUCAUAAAUUAGGUAAUUUUGAGAAGAUUGAUUCUUAUAUAUUCUUGUUAGGGGUGGUUGCUUGUUCAUGUUCUUCACGGUGAGCUCCUUUCGAUUUCGAGCAUGUUAUACUAGUAGAAUUGGUAUACACAUCUUUGUAGAUAGAUGUCGCAAUUAAAUGUCAUCCUCCCCGUCUUUUUGUCCUGGUUGCUGGAGUUUGAAUUAUUACAAACAAUGAUUUUAUUGAAUUUUUUUUUCCUCGGACAUUUUCUUCUGUAUUUCAAAUGUAUUGGUCGCUACUGUAUGUAAUUUUUCCAUAUAGUAAUGAAGAAAGUAUAUUGCUUUCUUUUUGUGCCAUCUGACUAACGUAACAUCUUCCUGCCCUUCCUUGGCAAUACCUAUAUUUAUUCCUAGAAAUUUUAUUAGUCCCAAAGUUCCCGCUUGUUGAUCUCGCCUCAUAGUGCAGCUGUAUAUUAUUUCAAUGAGCACUGAAUCUGACACAUGCUUUUCAAACAUUAGUUGGGUAUCGAUAUUCAAUACUGUUGAAAAUGGUAUUCAGUGUGUUUAUGAAAAACCUAUUAAAUUACCCGUGAAAAGUUACCAGUAACUCUGGAGUGUUCACUGAAAAUUUGGUUACUCUUAGACUUGAUAUUGGAAGUGUCCUGGCAGAAUGUCACGCUAAACUGAAAUACACAUCAAAGGUAAAAUGAUUGGAGCACGUAUUUUCUUAAACAACUUUGUAACAAGAUGAAAAUUAGUCUUGCAAUUUCAAGACUAAUCUACUUGAAAAUUUUGUUGUACAAAAUGAACCUUAUGCUGUAUAGAUGUUUUUCGACAGAGCACCUUAGUCCAAAACUUAGAGUAUUACGCGAUUUGUUUUGUUGAAAACUAAAAUAACAUGAGGCAAUUGAACCUAAACCAUAAUGAGGCUAACAAACUGAAAACACUAUCUCAGAAUUAGAAAAACAUACAGAUUUAAAUUGAAUAUGAUAAAGAUAUUGAUUUAUUUCAAUACAUUAGAAUGCUUGGCUACUUGGGAUAUUGUCUGGCAAUUGGUUUAAUUAAGUUUAUUUUGGCGUACUACCAUAUUCUGCGUUGUCACCAGCAAUAGUCAUUUUAAAUUUCGACUUUGGAUACCAAAUAAAUGACUACCUUAAUUGGGGUUUUGAGCAUAAAGAUAUCAUUGACCUAUAAAAAGUGGGCCUGGCCCUUGGGAAUGCAGUAAACAUUUAAGAACUUAUUUCACCGAAUGUACUCCCCUCUGGAUGUAGGAAUAGCAACAUGAGCAAAAUGUCCUAUCCAAGCCAAAAAACUUACGCCAAAGGGACAAAUGAUGAGUCAGACAAGAUUCGGUAGUUUUGAACCAGGAAAUGCUCGGUUUCCAUUGCGGUUGUAGGUGUAACCAACUUGCUAUUAAGGAAAUGGUAGAAAGAAAUAAUAGGAAAAGAGCACCAGUACAAAGAUCUUCAUUAGUGCAUUAGUGCGUAAGCCGAUUGUAUACCACCAUUGAUAAACACCAGAAUAAGGGAUAUUCACUUGGCCAAGAGCAUCCCCUAGAGUAAAAGCUUUCACGGUCAAUUGACCAAAAUGAGGAUACCAAAUUGCAUGAGCAACGAGUCUUACAUGUAAAGGGUCCUGUACCCAUGACUCAAAAUCUUUACCAAGCUACAUGAAACAAAUUUCCAGAAGUCCACAUACGACACUACAAACCACUAAGUUAUUAGCGAACUCAAAAUAAUGGUAUAAAUUACACGACAUAAUUACUUUGUUUUUAGAGCAAUGACGCGGAAAGAAAAGGAGAUGAAACAAAAGAUUUCAGGAUGAAAAUUUCUGAAGGAAUGACUGCUUAUUUAUAGCCAACAAAUUUCUGGAUUGAAAAGGUGUGAACGUGACUGUUCACACUGUAGUUGGCUAUUCGUGAAAUGCAGCCUUUCUUUGGUGGCUAUCUAAUUCACGCGAGAAUAUUUGAAUAGAAUUUAAGACGCAAACUAAUUAAUUUAUCGUUACAAAUAAUGGUCAUUCAAAAUAUUAAUAUAAAAUAUUAAUAUCUAAUUAAUUAAUUUCAUUUUAUUGGUCCAAAAAAUUAAGUCAAUAUAUCGUAUCAAUUGACCGAAGCCGAAGCCGAGCGAGCGACGACGAUGGCGGUGCGAGGCCCCUUCCUCUUAGCUCCUUUUUAGAGCUUAAGGAAGUGGUUCUAUAUUUAAACCCAACAAAAUACUUGUCUUUAACCAUUGAGGGACAAAGUGUAAAAGUUAAAGUUGCCUUUUCACCUUCUUUCCUCAUUUCCCAUUCACACUACCACUUCAACACCAACAAUCCCCACAUGAAUGAGGAAUGAUGAACGUGCACUCACAUGAAUGGGGAAUGAUGAACGUGCAUGAAAAUUUUGUGUGAUUCGCAAUUAAGGACUAAUUGCAUCGGGAUAAGUAGGUUUUCCUUUGAACUAACACUAGUGAACAUAUAUCGGAUAUACUCGAUCAAUCGGUGGUUUUGAUAUCUUUGAACUGCCGAGCUUUAGUGUAUACCUAGACAAUAUAUGUCACACAAUUAAUCCUUAUCCAUCUUUUGGUUCUCAUUGAUGUGUUCGUUUUAGUCAUGAAUAUCAUCUGGUUUCAUAAAUGCAUAGAGAAUUGGCCUUACAACAUUCUCCUUGAAGCGGCUUACACUUCAUACUUAUAUAGGUAAUUCCUAAACGUGUUAUCCCCUAGAUGCACUAUUUGCUAUACCCUUUAUCAAACUUAAAAAUCAUUAAGAAGUCCUAACGCUUUAUCCUUGAUACUGAAUAUUGUCUGCAUCACGAGAAUGAACCAAAAUUUUAUUUGACAAUAUUAAACCGUCACUAAUGAUUUUCUUUGAUAUCCUUGAACCUAGAUCUUGGGAUCUUCAGUAUUCUACGUAGAAUUACCACCACAAUGACUUGUCCUUGGCCAUAGUCCCACUCCCUUUGAUGACUUCUCAACUGCCUCUCUAGGUAUGCCUUAUGUAAGUGGACCGAUACUUUAUCUUUUGACUUUACAUAUUCAAUUGAGAUAAUUCCACUAGAGAGUAGUUGUCUAACAGUAUUAUGCCUUCGUCGAAUGUGACAAGAUUUUUCGUUAUACAUAAUGCUCCCAGCACUUUCUAUUGCUGCUUGACUAUCACAAUAUACGCAUACAAGUGCCAAAAGGUUUGGGCCAAAAAAGGAAUGCCUUCUAAGAAAUUGCAGAGCCCCUCAACUUCUUCACCGACCUUGUCUAAAGCUAUAAACUCAGACUUUAUUGUAGAGCGAGCGGUUCAUCUAUGUUUGGACGACUUCCAAGACACUGCUCCUCCACCAAUGGUAAAAACGUAUCCACUUGUGGAUUUUCUUUUCGUUGAUCUGGUGAUCCAAUAUGCAUCACUAUAUCCUUCAAUAACUGAGGGAUAAUUAUUGUAAUGCAAUGCUUGUGUAUCGACUAAGCUUUCUUAUUGUACAAGUUAUAUCAGGUUGUGUACAAUUCAUAUGUACAUCAAACUUCCCAACGCUCGAGCAUAUUCCAAUCGAUAUUUGCUUUAACCUUUAUUCUUUACAAGAAUAUGGUUUAAAUCAAUUGGCGUUUUUGCUUCUUUAAAGUCCAAACAUUUGAACUUUUCUAGAACCAUUUUAAUAUAAUGAGAUUGAGACAAAGCUUGACCUUGAGGAGUCUGCAGGAUCUUAAUUCCUAAAAUUAAAUCGGCAACUCCUAAAUCACUUUUUUAUAGAAUGAGAUUGAGACAAAGCUAGACCUUGAGGAGUAUGUAGGAUCUUAAUUCCCAAAAUUAAAUCGGUAACUCUUAAGUCAUUCAUAACAAACUUACUAGUAAGCAUGCACUUAGUAGCAUUUUGUUAGCAAUGUCAUUACUCAUUAUCAACAUAUCAACCACAUAUAUAUGAACAAUGACUAUUUUAUUUGGAGUAUUUUUUAAUGUAAACACAUUUGUCACACUCAUUGAUCUUGAAACCAUUUGACAACAUUGUUUGGUCAAAUUUUGCAUGUCAUUAUUUUGGUGCUUGUUUUAGUCCGCAAAGUGAAUUAUCAAGUCGACACACCUUUUUUUCUUUUACAAGAACUGUUUUGGUGCUUGUUUUAGUCCGUAAAGUGACUUAACAAGCCGACAAACCUUCUUAUCUUUAUCAGGAACUACAAACCCUUAAGGUUGUUCCAUAUAGAUUUCUUCCUCUAAAUCCCCAUUUAAGAAACCCGUCUUUAAUUCCAUCUGAUGGAUUUGAAGGCCAUACACAGCGGCUAACGCUAUUAACACCCGGAUAGAUGUAAUCCUUGUUACCAGUGAGUAUGUGCCAAAGUAAUCAAGACCUUCUCGUCGUCUAAACCCUUUAACAACUAAUCUUGCCUUAUAUUUGUCAAUAGUACCAUCGACUUUCAUUUUCCUUUUGAAAAUCCACUUAGAACCCAAAUGUUUGUUUCCCGGAGGAAGAUCGACCAAUUCCCAAGUAUGAUUACUUAAUAUGGAUUCUAUCUCACUAUUGAUUGCCUAUUUCCAAUAUUGUGCUUCCGAGGAAUACAUUGCUUCUUUGAACGUUUGAGGCUCAUUUUUCAAUAAAAAGGCCAGAAAAUCUGGUCCAAAAGAAGUAGCUGUCCUUUGACAUUUACUACGUAUUGGAUUUUCCUCAUCAGACGUACUUUCCUUUGAUUCUUCCUGAGGUCUUUUAGAUUUUUCAUUAGAUGACUCACAUUCCACUUUAUAUGGAUAAAUACUCUCAAAAAAUUCAGCAUUAUCCGAUUAAAUUGUCAUAAUAAUAUGAAUGUCGGAACUUUUUAAUUUAUGAACCAGAAACCGAUAUGCCUUACUAUUUGUUUCAUAUCCGAAGAAAACAAAAUCAAUGGUUUAUGGACUAGUUUAUAUCCUUUUGGGUUUAGGAACCUGCACUUUAGCCAAACAUCCCCACACUUUAAGAUAUUUUAAAUUGAGUUUCCUUCAUUUCCAUUUUUCAUAUGGAAUGGAUUGUGUUUUGCUAUGGGGAACUCGAUUCAGUAAUUGAUUAGCUGUAAGAAUAGCUUCCCCCACAAGUUUUGAGGCAAACCAGAACUUAUUAAUAAGGCGUUCAUCAUCUCCUUUAAUGUUCUAUUCUUUCUUUCUCCAUUAGAUUGUGGUGGAUAAGGGCAGUUGUUUGGUGAAAAAUGCAACUUUCCAAACAUAUUUUUUCAAAAGGAGAUUCAUAUUUGCCGCCUCUAUCACUUCUUAUCAUUUUGAUCUUUUUGUUUAAUUGUGUUUCAACUUCAUUUUUGUACUGCUUGAAUGUGUCUAUUGCUUCAUCUUUACUAUUAUGUAAGUAAAUAUUGCAAUAUCUUGCACUGUCGUCAACGAAAGUUAUGUCAUACUUUUUCCCACCGCGAGAUGGUAUUGACUUCAUGUCGCAAAUAUCCGUGUGAAUUUAGUCUAAAGGAUUUGAAUUCCUUUCAACUGGCUUAUACAGAUGCUCAACAUACUUUGAUUCCACACAUAUUUGACAUUUCGAGUUAUUGCAUUCAUACUUAUGUAAUACUUCCAAAUUAAUCAUUUUUCGCAAAGUUUUGAAGUUGACGUGGCCUAAAUAUUCAUGCCAUAAAUUAUUUGACUCAAGCAAGUAAGAAGAAGCUGAAAUUUUAUUCAUAUCAAUAGCAAUUACAUUGAGCUUAAAAAUGCCCUCAGUCAGGUAACCUUUUCCUACAUACAUUUCAUUUUUACUAACUACAGCCUUAUUAGAAAAAAAAAACACACUUAAAGCCAUUCUUGAUUAGAAGUGAUGUCGAGACUAAAUUCUUCCGCAUUUCAUGAACAUGAAGAACAACUUUUAGAAUCACAAUCUUUUUCGAAGUCAUAUUCAAAGCCACUUUGCCUGUUCCUUCAGUUUUUGCAGUAGCAGAGUUAGCCAUAAACACUGUGUCGUUGGGUCCAACGGGAGAAUAAGAAGAAAACAACUCCUUGUUAGCACAAACAUGUCGAGUUGCUCUUGAAUCAAUCCACCAUUCUCUAGGAUUUCCGACUAGGUUGCAUUCCGAAAACAUGGCACAUAGGUCAUCUAUUUCAUCAUUCUUCUCUAUCAUGUUUGCUUGAAUUUUCUUCUAGUCCUUCUUUGGUGCAGGACAUUUAAUAGUCUUGUGUCCAACCGUUCCACAGUUGUGUCAAUUGCCUUUGAACCUCUUCUUGCUUGGAUAAUUCUUUGAUACUGACGACUUCUUUUGUUUUUCUACUCGUUGAAGCUCCCUCAACAAUAUUUGCACCCAUUAUAGUUGAAUUUCCAUGGGAUUUCUUUUCAGCAGCCUUGUUGUCCUCUUUAAUCCGUAGACGAACAAUAAGGUCUUCAAGCGUCAUCUCCUUGUGCUUAUGUUUCAAGUAAUUCUUUAAGUCCUUCCAUAGAGGAAGCAGCUUUAAAAUAAAUGCCGCAACUUGAAACACUUCAUUUAUGACCAUACCUUCAAUCCUAAAUAUAUAAUUAGUACAAUAAUUAAUAACUUGAAUAAAAAUAUUGACUCGUCUUAUACAUUUAGCAAGGAUGUCAUGAACAAUAACUUGCAAUCCGUGGACUUGCGUUAUGACAGAUUUACCGUCAAUCAUUUUUAAAUCCAGAAAUUUGGCGGCCACAAACUUUUUUACUCCAACAUCUUCGGUCUUGUACUUCUUUUCAAGAGCAUUACAUAUUUCUCUUGAUGUUUUCAUGACGCUAUGAACGUUGUACAAGCCAUCUUUCAGGCCACUUAAAAUGUAAUUUUUGCACAAGAAAUCAGAGUGCUUCCAAGCCUCAGUAACAAGGAAGCGCUCGUUGUCAGGGGUUCCUUCAGGCACGACUGGCACAUCUUUUGAAUGAACCUUUGUAGACUUAGAGUGGUAAAAUUAAAGAACAUCUUUUGCUGCCAUCUUUUAAAGUCAACACCAGAAAAUUUCCCCAGCUUUUCCGCUGGUGGCUUAGCUGUUGUAAGUGCAAUAAGACGACUAGGACCUGGUAUCCCAGAAAUUGUGUUAGCAGUAAUAGUCAUAGUAGGAUCAAUUUGUUCCUCUCCGUUAGACAUUUCUAUCAAUAUGACACAAACAAAUAUAGUAAAUGGUGAAGUAUUUAACCCUUCAACCAAAGACUAACACAUUGAAGAGAUUAUUCUUCAAACUGGUUUUAACAGAGUGAAGAGAUUAUUCUUACAAACUGAUUAGGAGUAGAAAACAACAAAGGUUUUAGUCUCCUCAGUCACUUCAAAAUCAGAAUAGCAAGGAUAAAUAAUCAAUAAGAUUCUCUAAGCUUGUUAGAUAUUCUGAAAUUUAUAAGUGACUAAAACAGAAAAAUAAAUGUACAUAAUGAACAAAAAUUUAUAGAUUUAUGUCCCUAGACCACAAUUUCCUUGUGUGUCCUUAAAGAAUAUUAUCCCUUCACUGUUGCCCAAGAUUAACGGAUAAACUCUUCUUAGGAUAGAACGGAACUUCCACCUUAGUAGAGGCACUACAAACCACUAACUUAUCAGCAAUCUCAAAAUAAUGGUGUAAAUCACACGACAGACUUACUUUGUUUUUAAAGAAAUGAUGCAGAAAGAAGAAGGAGAUGAAGCAGAAGAUUUUAAGAUGAAAAUUUCUGUAGGAAUGGCUGCUUGUGAAAGUGGCUGUUCAUACUCAGGUGCUAUUCGUGAAAUGUAGCCUUUCUUUGAUGCCUGUUUAAUUAACAUGGGAAUAUUUUGAUAAAAUUAAAUAUGCAAAUUAAUUAAUUUAUCGUUACAAAUAAUGGUCACUCAUAAUAUUAAUAUAAGAUAUUAGUGUUUAAUUAAUUAAUUUUAUUUUAUUGGUCCAAAAAAUUAAGUCAAUCAAUCAUAUCAAUUGACUGAAUUUGAAUCCGAAGCCGAACCCCAAGCCUAGCCGAGCGCGCGACGACAACAACGACACGAGGCCCCUUUCUCUUAGCUCCUUUUAAGAGUUUAGGGAAGUGGUUCUAUAUUUAAACCCAACAAAAUAUUUGUCUUUAACCAAUGAGGGACAAAGUGCAAAAGCCAAAGUAGCCUUUUCAACUUCUUCACUCAUUUCCCAUUCACACUACCACUUCAACUCUAACAAUCCCCCACAUGAAUGAGGAAUGAUGAACAUGGAUGAAAUUUUGUGUGAUUCGCAACUAAGGACUAAUUACAUCAGGAUAAGUAGGUUCCCCUUUGAUCUUUCUGCAGUGAACAUAUAUUGAAUAUACUCGGUCAAUUGAUAGAUUUGAUAUCUUUGAACCGUCGAGCUUUAGUGUAUACCUAGACAACAUAUGUCACACAAUUAAUCCUUAUCCAUCUUUUGGUUCUUAUUGUUGUGUUCAUUUAGCCAUGAACACCGCCUGGUUUCAUAUGUGCGUAAAGAAUUAGCCUAACAACAUUCUCCUUAAAGCGUCUUAUACUUCACACUUAUAUAGGUGAUUCCUAAAUAUGUUAUCCCGUAUGUAAACUAUUUGAUAUACCCUAUAUCAAACUUAGAAAUCAUUAAAAAUUCCUAACCUUUUAUCCUUGGUACUGAACAUUGUCUGUAUCACGAGAAUGGACCAAAAUUUUAUUUAACAAUGUUGAACUGUCACUAAUGACUUUGUUUGAUCUCCUUGAACCUAGAUCUUGGGAUCUCCAGUGUUCUAGGUACAGUUACCGCUAUAGUGACUUGUCCUUGGCCAUAGUCCCAAUCCCUUUGAUGACUUCUCAAUUGCCUCUCUAGGUAGGCCUUUUGUAAGCAGAUCCGAUACAUUAUCUUUUGACUUUACAUAGUAAAUUGUGAUAAUUCCACUAGAGAGUAGUUGUCUAACAGUAUUAUGCCUUCAUCAAAUGUGACGAGAUUUCUCGUUAUACAUAACGCUCCCAGCCCUUCCUAUUGUGUCUUGACUAUCGCAAUGUAUGCAUACAGGUGCCAAAGGUUUGGGCCAAAAAGGGAAUGUCUUCUAAGAAAUUCCAAAGCCAUUCAUCUUAUUCAGCGGCCUUUUCUAAAUCUAUAAAGUCGGACUCCAUUGUAGAGCGAGCGAUGCAUGUCUGUUUGGACGACUUCCAAGACACUGCUACUCUACCAAUGGUAAAAACAUAUCCACUUGUGAAUUUUGUUUCCGUUGGUUUGGUUAUCCAAUUUGCAUCAUUAUAUCCCUCAAUAACUGAGGGAUAAUUAUUGUAAUACAAUGCAUAAUCUUGAAUAUAUUUCAAAUAUCCCAAAACUCGUUUUAUUGCUAUCCCAAGAGCAUGGUUGGGAUUACUUGUAUAUCGACUAAGCUUGCUUAUUGCACAAGCUAUAUCGGGUCGUGUAUAAUUCAUAAUGUACAUCAAACUUCCCAACACUCGAGCAUAUUCCAAUCGAGAUUUGCUUUCACCUUUAAUGUAAACACAUUUGUCACACUCAUUGAUCUUGAAAUCAUUUGACAACAUUGUUUGGUCAAAUUUCGCAUGCCAUUGUCUUAGUGCAUGUUUUAGUCCGUAAUGUGACUUAACAAGUCGACAAACCUUCUUUUCUUUUCCGGGAACUACAAACCUUUCAGGUUGUUCCAUAUAGCUUUCUUCUUCUAAAUCCCCAUUUAAGAAGGCCGUCUUUACAUCCAUCCGAUGGAUUUGAAGGCCAUACAUGGUUGCUAACGCUCUUAACACCCGGAUAGAUGUAAUCCUUGUUAUAGGCGAGUAUAUGUCAAAGUAAUCAAGAACUUCUCAUUGUCUAAACCCUUUAACAACUAAUGUUGCCUUCUAUUUGUCAAUAGUACCAUCAGUUUUCAUUUUCCUUUUGAAAAUCCAUUUAGAACCCAAAGGUUUAUUUUCCGGAGGAAGAUCGACAAAUUCCCACGUAUGAUUACUUAAUAAGGAUUCCAUCUCACUAUUGAUUACCUCUUUUUGAUAUUUUGCUUCUGAGGAAGACAUUGCUUCUUUGAAUAUUUGAGGCAUUUUCCAAUAAAAGGCCAGAAAACCUGGUCCAAAGGAAGUAACUGUCCUUUGAUGUUUACUACGUCUUGGAUUUUCCUCAUCAAACAUACUUUCCUUUGAUUCUUCUAGAGGUCGCUUAGAUUUUGUAUUAGACGACUCACAUUACAUUUUAUACGGAUAAAUAUUCUCAAAUAAUUAAGCAUUAUCCGAUUCAAUUACCAUAUUAAUAUGAAUGUUGGGAUUUUCUGAUUUAUGAACCAGAAACCGAUAUGCCUUACUAUUUGUUGCAUAUCCGGCGAAAAUUCAAUCAACGGUUUUUGGACCAAUUUUUACCCUUUUGGGUAUAAGAACCUGCACUUUAGCCAAAAACCCCCACACUUUAAAAUAUUUUAUGUUGGGUUUCAUUACUUUCCAUUUUUCAUAUGGAAUGGAUUGUAUUUUGCUAAGGGGAACUCAAUUUAGUAUUUGAUUAGCUGUAAGAAUAGCUUCCCCCCCACAAGUUAUGAGGCAAACAAGAAUUUAUUAAUAAGGCAUUCAUCAUCUCCUUUAAUGUUCUGUUCUUUCUUUCCGCAAUUCCAUUAGAUUUCGGUGAAUAGGGGGCAGCUGUUUGGUGAAUAAUGCCAUUUUUCAAACAUAUUUCUUCAAAAGGAGAUUCAUGUUUGUCGCCUCUAUCACUUCUUAUCAUUUUGAUCUUUUUGUUUAACUGUGUUUCAACUUCAUUUUUAUAUUGCUUGAAUGCAUUCAUUGCUUCAUCUUUACUAUUAAGUAGGUAAAUAUAGCAAUAUCUUGUACUGUCGUCAACGAAAGUUAUGAAAUACUUUUUCCCAAUGCGAGAUGGUAUUGACUUCAUGUCGCAAAUAUCUGUGUAAAUUAAGUCUAAAGGAUUUGAAUUCCUUUCAACUGACUUAUACGGAUGCUUAACAUACUUUGAUUCCACACAUAUUUGACAUUUCGAGUUAUUGCAUUCAUACUUAGGUAAUACUUCCAAAUUUAUCAUUUUUCACAAAGUUUUGAAGUUGACAUGGCCUAAACAUUCGUGCCAUAAAUUAUUUGACUCAAGAAAGUUAGAAAAAGCUGAAAUUUUAUUCAUAUAAAUAGCAAUUACAUUGAGCUUAAAAAGUCCCUCACUUAGGUAACCUUUUCCUACAUACAUUUCAUUCUUACUAACUACAGCCUUGUCCGAAACAAAAACAUACUUAAAGCCAUUCUUGACUAGAAUCGAUGUCGAGUCUAAAUUCUUCCGCAUUUCAGGAACAUGAAGAACAUCUUUUAGAGUCACAAUCUUUCCCGAAGUCAUCUUUAAAGCCACUUUGCCUGUUACUUCAAUUUUUGCAUUAGUGGUGUUUUCCAUAAACACUGUGUCGUUAGGUCCAUUGGGAGAAUAAGAAGAAAACAACUCCUUGUUAGCACAAACAUUGUCGAGUUGCUCCUGAAUCAAUCCACCAUUCUCUAGGAUUUUCGACUAGGUUACUUUCUGAAGCUUCCUCAUCAAUAUUUGCACCCAUUAUUGUUGAAUUUUCACGAGAUUUCUUCUCAUAGCCUUGUUGUCCUCUUCAAUCCGUAGACGAAUAAUAAUGUCUUCAAGCAUCAUCUCCGUGCACCUAUGUUUCAAGUAAUUCUUAAAGUCCUUCCAUAGCGGAGGAAACUUUUCAAUAAAUGCUGCAACUUGAAACGCUUCAUUUAUCACCAUACCUUUAAUCGUAAAUAUAUAAUUAGUACAAUCAUUAAUAUCUUGGAAAAAAAUAUUGACUCAUUUUAUACAUUAAGCAAGGAGGUCAUGAACAAUAACUUGCAAUUCUUGGACUUGCCAUAUGACAGAUUUACCGUCAAUCAUUUUGAAAUUCAGAAAUUUGGCGGCCACAAACUUCUUUAGUCCAGCAUCUUCGGUCUUGUAAUUAUUUUCAAGAGCAUUCCAUAAUUCUCUAAAUGUUUUCAUGAUGCUAUUAACGUUUUACAAGCCAUCUUCCAGGCCACUUAAAAUGUAAUUUUUUCACAGGAAAUCAAAAUGCUUCCAAGCCUCAGUAGCAAGGAAGUUGUCGUUGUCAGGGGUUCCUUCGGGCACGACUAGAACAUCCUCUUGAAUGAACCUUUGCUGACUUAGAGUGGUCAGAUUAAAGAACAUAUUUUGCUGCCAUCUCUUAACGUCAACACUAGAAAAUUUCCCCGGCUUUUCCUCUAGUGGCAUAGCUGUUGCAGGUGCAGUAGGACGGCCAGGACCUGGCAUCCCCGAAACUGUGUUAGCAAUAUCAGUCACAACAUGGUCAAUUUGUUCCCUUCGUUAGUCAUUUCUGUCAAUAUGACACAAAACGAUUUAGUAAAUGGUGAAGUAUUUAAUCUUUCAACCGAAGACAACAUAGUGAAGAGAUUAUUCUUCAAGCUUAUUUUAACACAGUGAAGCGAUUAUUCUUCAAACUGAUUAGGAGUAGAAAACCACAAAGGUUUAGUCUCCUCACUCACUCCAAAAAUCAGAAUAACAAGGAUAUAUAAACAAUAAGAUUCUUUAAGCUUGUUAGAUAUUCUGAAAUUUAUAAGUGACUAAAAUAAAAAAAAAAUAAAUGUACAUAAUGAACAAAAAUUAAUAGAUUUAUGUCUCGAGCCCACUAGCUUUAUACCUUCAGGUGCUCGAACUAUAGGUCAGACUUCACAUUUUUUAAGUGAAGUUAAUUCUUCUUGGAUAACGUCUUCUCAUGUUGGCCAAUCAUUUCUCCGUCUGCAUUUAUUGAUAGAUUUUGGUUCAAGAUGCUCAUCUUAUUGCAUUAUUUCAACAACAACAGUAUAAUCAAAUAACAUUAUCGAUAACAAUAUUAUUUCAGUUCCAUUUUUUUCCCCAUUGAGACAUAACUUAUUAUUUUCAGGUACCUGGACCUCCCAUGAGGUCUUAUCAUUUGCUAUGUUUCCACGCUCUUCUUGAGCCACCACCUUCGUAUUAUGGUCAAUUUGAUCAUUUUAUCCUUUUCUUUUUCGAGGAUUUUUAUCUUUAGAACCGAUUAGUCUACCGCAUUUCAAGCAUGGCUUAUACUCAUUUACUUUAAUUGAUUGUCCUGCUGGGAUAUCAACUAGAAUUGGAGCAUUAGUAGCUAGAAUAUGUGACCUAGCCACUCUUUGUAGGUGAGUGAAUGCAUCAUGCAAUUGAUUUGCAAUAUUUUUGUAACGAAGAAAUCGGUCGUUUUGAGCUUUAGCAUUCCAUUCGGUAGUUUAAGACUUUGAAUAGCUUCAUAUUAUAUAUAAUGACUCGCGUAUAUUGCUGAUUUCAAUUUUUGAGCUGUUCGAGAUUGAUUUGGAAGAAUGAUUCUCGUUUUAGAAGUUUUAAAUUGGAAGAGUUUACCAAGGUUUGGCUUUUUGUUAAAUAGCCUUGGAAUCUUGUUUUAAUUAUUCAAAUAGGUUUGUAUGAUAAUUUUGGAUAUGUCCAUAAAGUUUGGAUAAAUUCUGAUGAGUUUUAGAUAAGUUUGGGUUGUAUGGUGAUUGUUUUCGGUUCGACGUCGAUUUGAGCAUAUAUGUUACCAUAUCGAGCAAACGGUUUUUGAUUCAUGUUUCGACUAAACCAUUAUAUAUGUAUCAUAAAAAUAGAAAGUUAAAUCAUCAAGUUUUGGCAUUGUAUGAGGAAUCUAUGGUCAUUUUACUAAGAUUUGGGUUUCCAGAUUUUCAGAGUAAUUACGAAAUCACCACUGAAAUCGUAUUUAAUAAUUUGAAUUGUUUUUAAAUAUUGAAACUAACAUAUCUCCUUCAUUAUAAGGUCAAAGGGAGUGAUUCAAAAUCCUAACUUGAUUGGAAUUUUAUGAGGAAUCCAUUUGAGGCAUCGAAUCUAAGUUUCAAGAUUGUUUGGCAUAAGAGACGAGGCAAAACAACUGAGCAAAAGCAUAAAAUAUCGAGGGUUUGUUAAUUUUGUCAUAUUUUGCGUUGGGAGCUAAGAUUUGGGCAUUUUUGAGGCGAUUUUCACCACGUGGAUUGGGGUAGAUGUUCUAUAUUCAGUUGUGGUUAUAUUUCAUAAAUCCAUCUUCGUUUUUGGCAUUUGAUUGAUGAUUUCAAAGUGAAAUUUAAAGUGUUUUGUCUAAAAUUUUAUAAAGUGAUUUUUUUGCGGUUUGAACAUUGAUUCCAAGUCGGAUGUGAGUGAAACUAGUAUGAUUGGACUCGUAAUUGAAUGUGUUAUCAUAUAUUGUGAGUUUUGUCAGAUUUCGAGGUGCAAGCCCAUGUUUGACUUUUUAGUUGACUUUAGGCUUUUGAUUAAAGAUUCUGCCUUUGUCAAUUGGAUUUGCUUCUUAUGGAAUUGUUUGAUGAUUUUGAAUUGUAUUUGGCUAGUUUUGAUCCGCUAGGUAGAUGAUUUGAGUGGGAUGACGCCUCAAGUGUAUCACUUUAGCUUGUUUGAGGUAAGUGUCUUGCCUAACUUUGUUGGAGAAUUUUUUUUUACUAACUGCCAUUGUUUGCUACAUGCAGGGGUGAUACAUAUAUGUCAUGACGAGCAUAUAUGCAUGUAUCAGGUUAAUUAUGUUCGAGGGUAAAUUAUACGAUUAAUUGUGCCUUAUAGAAUUACGUGACCUUCUUGUUUCAUGUCUUACUUGACUUCUAGAUUAAUAAAAAUUUAUUAAAUGCUAGAAAUCAAGAUUUAACUUAUUAUAACUCGAUUAACAUUUGACGGAUGUUUGUGAAACUAUUGAUGUGUUUAAUUCGGUCAUUGCUAUGUUUAAUCACUAAUAUAUCACUAAAGACCGUUAUUCUUGAGAUGUUGGGUUCUACACUUGAGUUGAAGAUCAUUUUUGAGACUUGUUGAAAUACUUGAAUAAUAAGGUUCUUGAGGUUUAUUGAAUUAUUAUUGGCUUGAAAGUUGUGAUUGACGUUCAUUUGGAAUAUUCGUUUAAUCACUCUCUUUGAUGUUGUUCGUGCUUCCUACCUUGCUUGUCAUUCAUAUACAUAUUCUUAGUGAGGAAGAGCGUAAAGCACGGAGGGUGAUGCCAUGCCAUUUCAUAUACAUUAUAAUUUGAGGAUGAGAGUAAAAGCACGAAGGGUGAUAACACAACAUUUUAUUUACAUUAUCAAGAUCUCAUUUAUAUUAUCAUGUGAGGAUAAGAGUAAAAUCAAGAAGAGUGAUGCCCUAAUUUACAUUAUCAUGUGAGAAUGAGAGUAAAAGAACGAAGGGUGAUGGCGUGCCAUUUUAUUUAUAUUAUCAUGUUUUUAUAUUCAUUAUCAUGUGAGGAUGAGAGUAAAAGUAUGGAGGGUAAUGCCGUACCAUUUUAUUUAUAUUACACGUGUUCAUGGUACGAAGGUUAUUUCCAUGCAGAUGAGGAUGAGGGACAUGCGUUAUAUUGUGAUAUAUUUUCCUUGUGUAUACAUUCAUGCCUUUAUCUUGAGUUGUUACUGUUGCACCUAUAUUUUUUAUGUGACUUGUCGUUAUUGUUCUGUCUUUGUUCUCUAUCUCAAUUGUUGUUGUGUUGUCCAUGCCUUAUAUCCGUUUAACUUACAAAUAUCAUGCUUUCCUUGUUAUUGUUAUAUUUACAUCCAUGCCAUUUCUCAUUUGUUGUAGUUUCAUAUAAGCCUUCUACCAUGUUAGUUACUCAUGACUUCUAUUUUUUAGCUCAUGAAGAUCAUGCUUUCCCUCUUGUUUAUUACAUCUACAUCUAGGUAUUCUACCAUGUUAGUUAGUAAACUUUAUGUUCUUCUUCCUAAUCGCUGUCAUUCCUAGUCUAUUACCGUUGUCCAUAUGCGCUGCCUUGUUCGUUAUUGUUACCUGCGUGUUUCCCACUUUUUGAUUAGUCUUGUUGGUAUUUUUUCGCCCGGUUGGUAGUGUUAUAUGCAUAUUGGUGUUGUCGUGCUAUUCGAUUUCAUAUAUUGAGUACAUUUCUCACACUAUGAAAGUUAUGGAUUUAUUAUCAUGGUUUGUUGUUUAUCGCUCUAAAGAAAGGAUUGGUCAUGAUAUUGAGGAAUAUUAAAUCGUGAUUCCUUCUAGUAAUUAUUUACUGCUUAGCAUGUUCGUUUUUUUAUGCUUUUUUCUGUUAUGUUGCAGUAUUGUUCUAUUUCUAGUCUACUCCACAUGCUAUAUCAGUGAGUAUCAUUUAACUAAAAAGCCUCAUCACUACUUCAUAAGGUUAGUCAAGAUACUUAUUAAGUACAUAGGGUCGAUUGUGCUCAUACUACACUUCUGCACCUUGCAUGAUGAUCUUGGAGCGGAGCUACGGUGGAUGACGAGAGCUGACUUUGGAGAUGUUCAUGCCUUCCGGGUGUGACUACCAUUUGUCCCGGGUUUGAUUUAUGUACAUUUCAAACAGAAUUUGUAUUUAUUUCACAUCAAAUUUUAUAAUAAUUCAAUCUUAGUAGUUCAUGACUUGUACUACUAGUCCUUGGGAUAUUGAAUGGAAUCCAGGUAUAUCAUUUUAUGGUCACCUUUACUUUGCUAAAAUUGUAUUAAUUGUUAAUUGGCUGACCUAACGGGUUGGGUUAUGUGCCAUCACGACUAGCAAAUUUUGGGUCGUGAUAAUUUUGCUAUUGCAUUAUCUGUUGAACCUCUUGUUCACAUAGAUUUGUUCAAGAAUUUAAAUGAGAUAGUGAUAAUUCAUUCUAAUCUAUUUCAUUUUUCAGCGGCUUCUUUUCUCCCCUAAUAUUGGGUACUGAUUCAUCAAAAUGGCAAUCAGAAAAUUUUGUCGUAAAUAUAUCUCCAGUCAUAAGGUGUAGAUAUUUUACAAUAGGAGAUUCAUAUCCAACAUAUAUUCCCAAUCUUCUCUGAGGACCCAUCUUUGUGCAUUGUGGCGGAGCAAUUGAAACAUAUAUCCCACAAGCAAAGAUUUUAAGAUGGAAAGUAUUUGGCUCCUGAUCCAAAGGCAAUAGCAAUGGAAAGACAUUAUGAUAACUUGUGGGCUUUAUCCGCACAAGUGAUGCUACAUGCAAAAUAGCAUGACCCAUAUUGAAAUUGAAAUUUUUUUCUCAUAAGCAUUGGUUCAACAAUUAAUAGAGGUGCUUGAUCCUUGAUUUCGCCUGACUAUUUUGAGUAUGAAUAUGAGCAACCGGAUGCUCAAUUGUCAUUUCAGUCAAUAUACAAUAGUAAUUAAAGGCAUGUGAUAUAAAAUACCUGCAUUAUCAAGACGAAUUGUAUUAAUUGCAUAAUCUGAAAAUUAUGCUCUCAACUUUAUUAUUUGAGCCAACAAUCUCGCAAAUGCCAUACUGCAAGAUGAUAAUAAGCACACAUGUGACCAUCUUGUAGAUGCAUAUACCAAAAACAUAUAAUAUCUGAAUGAUCGACAUGGAGGGUGAAUGAGCCCACAUAUAUCACCCUGCAUACGUUUCAUAAAUGUAGGGGAUUCCAUCCUAGUUUUUAUCGUUGAUGGUCUAAUAGUUAAUUUGCCUUGAAAAGAUGCAGCACAAGAUAAUUCCUUAAAUUGAAGAUUCUUUUGGUUCUUCAUUGAUGUCCAUGUGAAUUCCUAAUUAUUUUAAGCAUCAUAGUAGAACAAUGAUGGCACAACUGGUUAAUCUUUUUUAUCAUUUGUAAUCUCAAUAUGAUAUCCAUUUUGGCGAACAUCUUUGAAACUUAAUAAGUUUCUUUGAGAAUUUAUACAAUAUAGUGUUUCAUAAAUAGCAAAAUUUGUUCCUCUUGAUAUCAAUAAAUUUGCUUUCAGAACCUUAAAUUAAUCUCUACCAGAUAUUGUAUUAACAUGGGCUUUGUUCAUUACCAAAUAAGCGAAAUAUCUCUUAUCUCUUAAAAUAGUGUGUGUUGUAGAUCUAUUCAGAAGAUAUAUAUCAUCUUUAUUAAUCUUGAUUCCAACUGAAGAGUAGAAAUUUUUCAUACUUUUCAUUUAAAAAAAAGUAAAAAAUAAUCAUAAGAAAUAUGAAAUACUAACAGAAAAAGAACAUUAUACAUUAGAUAUGUAGAAACCAUCAACACAUGAUACAUUAGGAAAAUACACUCAAGAAAAAUAAACUAGUCGUAAACAUGAAAUAAAAAAUAACAACUUUCAUUAUUGCUUCAUUCCCAGUGAGAUGAUUAGUUCUUCAGUCAAUAUCCUCAAAGACAUCUCCAGCUUCUAAAUGAGUAAUAUUUGCAAGGCCUCCAAAAUCAUUAUCUUUAUAUGCAAUAUAUGCCUCAGAAUCAAAUUUGUUUGAGGGACCUACUUCUUCAUCAUUACUUUUGAAAGUUCAAGUGUGCCUCCAUAUUGUUUUCUUUCUUUCUGAGAGAAGCUUGAUAAUGUUUGACAAAAUGAUCUGGUGUACGACAAAUACGUGCGUAAUGACCUUUUGUACCACAUUGGUGCCACAUAUUAUUUUACCUUUUGAAGGAUUUAUUUGAGAACCCUUAUUGUUCUCAUGUUUAUUUCCACCAUGAUGAUAAUAAUUGUUUCGUCCCCUGCCACGUCCACGUCUGCGACCAUGUCCAUGGCCAGAGUAAUUAUUUUUUUCUUUCAAAACUUAUCAUAUGUUGCUAGAACAUUCACUUAUGGGAAUGGAGCUGACCCAGUGGGAUGGACUUCAUGAUUUUUCAUUAAUAGAGUAUUAUUAUGUUCUGCCAUAAGUAGGCAUGUGAUUAACUCAAGAAUAUUUCUUAAAACCUGUGACGACCCGGCCAGUCGUCUCAUGAAUAACCGUUUUGUUUACCUUGCUUCUUUAUACUUCGUUAUCCAUGUUUUGAGGUAUCGGCUUGGUCGGAUCGAAUACGGAAUGAUUUUUGUAAGAUUUGAGACAUUUAGUCUCUCUUAAGGAAGUUUAAGCUGGAAAAAUUAACCAAAUGCUGACUUAUGUGUUACAAAGGUCGAAAGUCAGUUUCAAUGGUUCAGUUAUCUUCGAGAGGUGAUUUAUGUCUUAGGAAUGCGAUAAAAAUGGGUCUAGGAGGGUUGGAUUAGUUUUAGGCUUGAAUUGGCGAAGUUGAUAAUUUGGCGAUUUCCGGUUGGUAGGUGAGAUUUUGAUAUAGGGGUUGGAAUAGAAUUUUGAGAGUUGUAGUAGCUUCGUGGUGUCAUUUGUGAUGUGUGCACAAAAUUUUAAGUUAUUCGGACACGGUUUGGUUGGGUUUUAGAUGAAAAGCGGAAUUCAGAAGAUUUUUGAAACUUGGGCUUCAAUCUAAGGUGUUUUAGUUGAUUUGAUGUUGUUUGAAGUGUCUUGAUAAUUGGAAAAAGGUUGAAUGAGGUAUUAAGAUAUGUUUGUGCUUUUGGUUGAGGUUCGGUGGUCUCGGGGUGAUUUCGGAUGGAUAAUAGAGGAGUUGAGAUGUUAUUGCAGCAGCUAAAGUUUGCUGCUUCUCGUGUUUUCGCACCUGCGGUUUGGGGACUGGAGGUGCGGUGCCGCAUAUGGGAUGGAAUAGCUGGAGAAGGAGAUUAUGAGGAAAUGUCAGUGACCUCAGAAGCAGUAAGGAUGGCCGCAUCUGCGGAGCCGUAGAUGCAGAAGGCGUAUUGAAGAUGCGACUUUUGGGUUGUUAUUGAUUUCCACGGAAGCGGAGGAUUUAACCGCAAAUUCGGUACCACAGAAGCGGGUUUUAGACCACACAUUUGGGUGUCCCUGGGCAAAAUAUAUAUAUGUCUUCCUUAAGGAUUUAUGAAGGUUUCACCAUUUAUAAACACAAUUCGGGAGCAUCGGGUGAUUUUGAAGAGAGAAAUCAAGGAUACUUCGUUAACAUAAGGAUUUUGGACCUAAAACACACUUCUAUGGUAGAAUUUCAUGCAUUAAGAAAGUAAUUAAAGGUAUUAAAGGGCUAAAAACGGGGGAUUAGGACUUGAGUUUAAGAUGCCUUUAAAUGAGGAUUUGAGGGGUCAUUUGGACCCUGAUUUUAGUAUUCUUGAUAUGUACACACUUGAGGGAGGAUAAGGAUUCCGUUGAUGCAAAAAUUAUUGAAUUCCGAGUCGUGGACUCGGGGGUCAGGUUUUGGUAAUUUCGGGAUUUGUGCCCUUAUUGUUUGUCUUUGCUUGGACUUCGUUCCCUUAGCAUAUUUUGAUGUCCUUCGUUCUGAUUUUGGAUAGAUUUGACGCGUGUGGAGGCCGAUUCGUGAGGCAAAGGUGUCACAAGCUAGAGAUUUAGCCGGUUCUAGGUAAGUAAUGAUUAUAAAUGAUGUUCUGAGGGUUUAAAACCCCAAAUUUCAAAUUGUAGUGCUAUAUUAAGGUGACACACACGCUUGAUGACGGGCGUGGGACCGUGCACUAUUAGGGAUUGUGACUUGGUCCAUCUCGAUUGAUGAUUUACCGCGUAUGUGGUUCUAAAUUUAUUUUCUAUUAGUAUGAUUUGGGCUGAAUGCCAUAUUUGGGCGUCGUGCCAAUUAUUUAAACCCUCCGGGGAUUUUAUUACUAUUUCCUCACUGUUUUGACUUAUCACUUUAACUAAGUCAUGUUAUUUUCCAUUAUUUUCAUAAUCAGCCAUGUUUAUUCCGUUUUAAGACUUAAAUGAUAUUUUAAAUGAUGUUUGGGAUGAGAAAUACUGUUUUAAUAUUGCCCGAGGGGCUUGUGAGUGUUUUUGACUAAGUAAGGUUGAGGGCCUAUGUUGUGAGGAAACACUGAUAUUGAUUUGAGGCCGAGGGCUAGAGAUAUGUACGCCACAAGGUGGCUUGAUUGAUAUGAGGAUGAGGGCCGAGUUUUGAUGCCAUGAGACGGAUUGUUAUUGUGCUUGGGCCGUAAGGAGCUCCUCUAGGAGUCUGCACACCCCAGUGAGUAUGUGUACCCAUUGUGACGUGAGAUUGAGCCCGAGGGGCUGUAUUAUUCUAAGAUAUUGCCCGAGGGACAGAUUUGUUGAUACUAUGCCCGAGGGGCAAACGUUUAUUUUUUUAGCUUACCUUAUUGUCCAUCAAUUACCCUUUUAAUGUUGAAAAAGGAUUUUUACUUGACAUUUUAUUGGUUUACUGAUUUUAAAUGGUUUUAAUGCUUCAUUAUAGAAUUCUUUGUGCCUUACAUGUUUUCUUACUUUCACUCGUUAUUUACAUUUGUUACUCACUGAGUUGGAGUACUCACUUUACUCCCUGCACCCUGUGUGGAUGCCAUGAGACGGAUUGUUAUUGUGCUUGGGCCGUAAGGAGCUCCUCUAGGAGUCUGCACACCCCAGUGAGUAUGUGUACCCAUUGUGACGUGAGAUUGAGCCCGAGGGGCUGUAUUAUUCUAAGAUAUUGCCCGAGGGACAGAUUUGUUGAUACUAUGCCCGAGGGGCAAACGUUUAUUUUUUUAGCUUACCUUAUUGUCCAUCAAUUACCCUUUUAAUGUUGAAAAAGGAUUUUUACUUGACAUUUUAUUGGUUUACUGAUUUUAAAUGGUUUUAAUGCUUCAUUAUAGAAUUCUUUGUGCCUUACAUGUUUUCUUACUUUCACUCGUUAUUUACAUUUGUUACUCACUGAGUUGGAGUACUCACUUUACUCCCUGCACCCUGUGUGCAAAUUUAUGUGUAGCUGGUCUCGCUCCCAAGCGCUGAUUCAUUCUAGCUUCAGGGCGGUUCUUCGAGGAGUCUUUAGAUAGCUGUUAGUAUACACAGCCGAAGCUCCUCCCUAUCUCUUUAUUUUAAGUCCCUAGUUCAAUGUUAAGCCCUAUAGUUAUAUUUGAGUAUUCAGUGUUCAUAGAUGGUCGUGACAUGUGACACCACAGUUAGGGCUGUGUCAGGUUGUAUUUAUGCUACUUAUUAUCAUCAAACCGUGUUUCAGACUGCUUUUAUGUUGUUUUAUUUCUUUAACAAGUGAAUUGGUUUAGUUGGCUGGCCUUGUAUUCACGAGAGGUGCAAUCACGAUUGGGUUUGGGGUUAGAGUCGUGGCAAGUUGGUAUUAGUGCCUAGGUUACAUAGGUCUCGCGAGUCAUGAGCAGGUGGAGUAGAAUCUCGCAUAUCGGAAUGGAGCCAUCUGUAUUUAUCCAUGAGAGGCUGUAGAACCUUUAGGAAAAACUUCACAUUCUUGAAAUUAUUGUCGUGUGAACUUGUUGAUCUGAGUACUAAGCUUCUGUUAUUCUAUUCUCUCACAUAUGGUGAGGACACACGCUAUCGAAUAGGUUGGACGACCACUAGUGCCACCAGCUGUAGCCACUAGAGGCCGAGGACACAGUCGUGGUCGUGGUAGAGGCAGAGCAGCAAGGGCAGCACCUGCGGAUCCAUCAACUGCCCUAGUUCAGGACAGGGUCCUAAAUGUGGAUGCUCCAGCAGCACCAGCACAGGCACCAGCUGUGCCCAUUGUGAUUCCGGGUCUUCAGGAGGUCUUGGCUCUAAUCUUAUCAGUUUGCACUGGCCUAGCUUAGGCGGUUUCAGCCUCUAUAGCCAUAGCUACUUCUCAGGCCAAGAGAGGCAGUCAGACUCCCGUCGAUCGCACACCCGAGCAUGUCGUGUUGUUACUUCAGACAUCGGGGGAACACCUCGCCUAGCCUGUUGUAGCUGCUCAUGACUAUGUAGUUCCUGCUAUGCUAGAGGACGAGCAACGUAGGUUAGAGAGAUUUGGAAGGCUUCAACCUCCGACUUUCAGUGGCAUAAAGGGCGAUGAUGCCUAGGGCUUUUUGAAGAAGUGCUAAAGGAUGCUUUACCACAUGUGUUUUGGAGACCAGCGGGGUCGCUUUCACUACCUAUCAGUUUUCAGGACCUACUUUCACUUGGUUGGAGGAUUUUGAGAGGCGUAGGCCUGUUGGUGCAGUACCCCUUACCUGGCAGUAGUUCUCCUUUCUCUUUCUAGAUAAGUAUGUGUCGUAGUCUCAUAGAGAGGAGUUGUGUAGGGAGUUUGAGUGGUUGUGUUAGGGGGAGAUGACCGUUUCACAGUAUGAGUUGAGGUUCUUCGAUUUGGCUUGUCAUGCCAUCUAGUUGGUCCUGACAGAUAGAGAGAGGAUCAGGAGGUUUAUUGAUGGUCUUACUUAUUAGCACCGUAUUCUUAUGACUAGGGAGAGGUUGACCGGUGCUACAUUCAAGGAGAUUGUGGAUAUUUCCCGAGAGACCGAGUCUGUUCUUCGCUAGGAGUGGGAAGAAAGGGAGGCCAAGAAGCCUCGAGGAUAUGGUAGUUAUAGUGGUUCUUUUUCGAGGGGCCAGUUUCAGCACAACAGAGGAUGUUCAUUUAGGCAUGCUCAAUCAGCAGACCCAAGUUAUCAUGGAGAGUCAUCCGGUCAUGGUUCUCACAAUUCACAUCAAGGCCAGUCAUCACUUAGUGCCCUUCCAGCUCAGAGUUCAUCCCGUGCUCUCUCGGUUUAGUGCUCUUCUAUGCCGAGUGCAUCUGUUAGUCACUCUGGUGCGAGAGGUUCCCUUUAGUCUUCUUCUCCAGCACCUAAAAGUUGUUUCGAGUGAGGUGAGAUGGGCCACAUGUGGAGACAGUGUCCUCGUUGUUUUGAUAUUUCAUCCCAGCAAAGGGGUCCGUCAUCAGCUUCAGCGCCAGUUAUUUCUCCACCACCCGCCCAACCAUUUAGGGGUGGUGGUUAGUCACCCAGGGGUUGCCCUAGAGGGGAAGGUCAGACAUGUUUCUAUACUCUCCUAGGAAGACCCAAUACUAUUGCUUCAGAUGCCGUUAUUACAAGUAUUAUUCAGUCGGCCACAGAGAUGCCUCUAUUUUAUCUGAUCCUGGAUCCAUAUUUUCUUGUGUGUCAUCAAACUUUGCUAGUUAUUUGGGUAUGCCCCGUUAGUUUCUUGCUUUACCUAUUCCUGUAUCUACCCUGGUAGGCGAUACUGUUGCUGUAGACCGUGUGUACCAGUAAUACAUGGUGACUAUUAGGGGUUUAGAGACCCGAGUGGAUCUAUUAUUACUGAACAUGGUGGAUUUUGAUGUCAUUCUGGGCAUGGAUUGGCUAUCUCUGUGUCGCGGUAUUUUGGACAGUCAUGCUAAGACAGUCACAUAGGCUACGCCGGGGGUGCCACGAAUCGAGUGGUAAGGUGUGACUGAUUAUGUUCCUAGUAGAGUGAUCUCGUUCUUGAAAGCCUAGCGUAUGGUUGGGAAGGAUUGUCUUUUGAAUCUUGCCUUUGUGAGGGAUGUCGGAGCUGAGACUCCUAGUAUUAAUUCUAUUCAAGUUGUGAGGGAUUUCCUUGAUAUAUUUCCUGCAGACUUUCCGGGCAUGCCAUCAGAUAGAGAUAUUGAUUUUGGUAUUAACCUAGUGUCGAGCACUCCGCCCAUUUCUAUUCCGCCGUAUAAUAUGGCACCAACAGAUUUGGAAAAAGUUGAAGGAGCAGCUUCAGGAACUCCUUGAUAAGGGGUUCAUUUGGCCUAGUGUGUCACCUUGGGGUGUGCCGGUUAUGUUUGUGAAAAUGAAGGAUGGCACAAUGAGAAUGUGCAUCGAUUAUAGGCAAUUGAACAAGGUAACAAUUAAGAACAUGUAUCCUUUGCCUCACAUUGAUAAUUUAUUCGACCAGCUUCAGGGAGCGAGGGUGUUCUCCAAGAUUGAUAUUCGUUCAGGCUAUCACCAGUUGAAGAUCAAGGAUUCUGAUAUUCGUAAGACGACUUUCAGGACCAGAUAUGGUACUUAUGAGUUCCUGGUUAUCUUUUUUAAGCAUAGCAAUGACCCAAAUAUGUUCAUGCAUUUGAUGAACAUGUUCCAGCCUUAUCUUGAAUCGUUUGUCAUAGUUUUCGUUGAUGAUAUUCUGGGGUGUUCGUGUAGUCGAGAGGAGCACACGAAGCAUUUGAGGGUUGUGUUGCAGAGAUUGAGGGGGGAGAAACUUUAUGCAAAGUUCUCCAAGUGUGAGUUUUUGCUCGUCUUAGUAGAAUUCUUGGGACACGUGAUGUCCCGCGAGGGUAUUCAGGUUGAUCCAAAGAAGAUAGAGGCGGUGUAGAGUUGUCCCAGACCAUCCUCAGCUACAGAAAUUCGCAGCUUUCUUGGUUUGGUAGGCUAUUAUUGCCGGUCUGUUCAGAUAUUCUCAUCUAUUGUGUCACCCUUGACCAAGUUAACUUAGAAGCGUGUUUCAUUUGUAUGGUCGGAUGAGUGUGAGGAGAGGUUUUAAAAGCUUAAGAAAUCUUUGAGCACAACUCCAAUGGUUGUUUUGCCAUCAGCUUCAAGUUCAUAUUCCGUGUAUUGUGAUGCUUCGAGAAUAUGGUUAGUUCUGUGUUGAUGUAGGAGGAUAGAGUUAUUGCUUAUGCUUAUCUUCAGUUGAAGCCCCAUGAGAAUAACUACCACGUUCAUGAUUUGGAGUUGGCUUCCAUAAUUCACGCAUUGAAUAAUUGGAGGCAUUACUUGUAUGGAGUAUCUUGUGAGAUGUUCACCGGUCAUCGCAGUCUUCAGCAUUUGUUCAAGAAAAAGGAUCUUAAUUUGAGGCAGCAAAGAUGGUUGGAGUUGCUUAAGGAUUAUGAUAUCAUUAUAUUGCACCAUCCGAGACAAGCCAAUGUGGUGACCGAUGCCUUGAGCCGAAAGGUAGUAAGUAUGGAGAUUUUGGCAUAUAUAAUUGGGGAGAGACCUCUUGCAGUGGAUGUUUAGGCCUUGGCCAAUUGGUCCGUGAGGAUGGAUAUUUUGGAUCCCCGUCAGAUAUUGGUUUUGUAGUUUCUCGGUCUUUUUUAUAUGAUCGCAUCAGUGAUGAGCCAUAUUUUCUUGUCCUUUGGUACAAAUCUCAUCAUGAUAAUACUUGAGAAGUGGCCAUUGGUGAUAAUGGGGUGUUGAGGAUGUAUGGUUGGAUUUGUGUGCCCAACGUAGAUAAGCUUCGGGAGUUUAUUCUGAAGGAGGCCCAUAGCUCGCGGUAUUCCAUUCAUCUAGGUUCUGCAAAUGUAUAUCAGGAUUUGAUUCAGCACUAUUGGUGGGGAGAAUGAAGAAACACAUUGUGGGAUUUGUAUAUUGGUGUUUCAAUUGUCAGCAAGUGAAAUAUGAGCAUCAGAGACCGGGCAGCUUGCUCUAGUCGAUGGAUAUUCUAGAGUGGAAGUGGGAGAGGAUCACUAUGUACUUUGUUGUUAGACUUCCAUAGACUUUGAGGAAGUUUGAUGCUAUUUGGAUGAUUGUGGAUCAGCUGACUAAGUCCGCGCACUUCAUUUCUAUCUAUACUACUUAUUCUUCAGAGCGGUUAGCAGAGAUAUAUAUCCGGGAGAUUGUUUGGUUGCAUGGUGUUCCAGUUUCUGUAAUUUUAGAUCGGGUCACUCAGUUUACUUCCCAAUUUUGGAAGUUUGUUCAGCAAGAGUUGGGUACUCAGGUGGAGUUGAGCAUAAAUUUUCACCCUCAGACGGACGAGAAACUAUUUAUAUAUUGGAGGAUAUGUUACGCGCUUGCGUCGUUGAUUUCAGAGGGCCAUGGGAUCGGGUCACUCAGUUUACUUCCCAAUUUUGGAAGUUUGUUCAGCAAGAGUUAGGUACUCAGGUGGAGUUGAGCAUAACUUUUCACCCUCAGACGGACGGGAAACUAUUUAUAUAUUGGAGGAUAUGUUACACGCUUGCGUUGUUGAUUUCAGAGGGCCAUGGGAUCAGUUCCUAUCAUCGCACAGUUUUCUUAUAACAACAACUGCCGGUCGAGAAUUCAGAUAGCUUCAUAUAAGGCUUUGUAUGAGAGGCAGUGUAGAUAUCCUGUGGUUGGUUCGAGCCCGGUGAGGCUAGGCGAAGGUGAAGGUGAUUCAGAAGAGGCUCCAUAUAGCAUGGUCGAGGCAAAAGAGUUGCACUGACAUAAUGGUGCAAGAUGUGUUGUACAUGGUUGGGGAGAAGGUUCUGUUGAAGUUUCGCCCAUGAAGGGUGUUAUGAGAUUUGGGAAGAAAGGGAAGUUGAGUCCGCGCUUCAUUGGACCUUCUGAGUACUUCGGAGGAUUGGGGAGGUGGUUUAUGAGCUUGCUUUUCCACCCAACUUGUCGAGUGUGCAUCUGGUGUUACAUGUUUCUAUGCUCCAAAAGUAUAUUGAAGCUCCAUCUCAUGUUCUGGAUUUCAAAACAGUUCAGUUGGAGGGUGAUUUGACUUAUGAUGUGGAGCCAACAAUUAUUUUGGAGCAUCAGGUUCAGAAGUUGAGGUUAAAUGAUAUAGCUUUAGUGAAAGUGUAGUGGAGAGGUUGGCCCGUGUAGGAGGCUACUUGGGAGACUUAGCGGGAGAUGCAGAGAAGAUAGCCUCACCUGUUUCUUCAGGUAUGUUGCUUGACUCAUUCGAGGACAAACAUAUAAUUAUGUUGGGGAGGAUGUGACGACCCGGUCGGUCAUCUCAUGAAUCACCUCUCCAUUCCUAUUAUUUUUGCUUUUUUAUGCUUUUUUAUCCGUGUUUUGAGGUAUCAGGUUGGUCGGAUCGAAUCCGGAAUGAUUUUGGUAAGGUUUGAGACUCUUAGUCUCUCAUAAGGAAGUUUAAGCUGGAAAUGUCAACCGGAUAGUGACUUAUGUGUUAGAGGGCUCGAAUGUGAGUUCCGAUGGUUUGAUUAGCUUCGGGAGGUAAUUUAUGACUUAGGAGUGCGAUAAGAAUAGGUCUUGAAGGUUUGGAGUAGUUUUAGGCUUGAAUUGGCGAAGUUGAUAAUUUGGCGAUUUCCGGUUGGUAAGCGAGAUUUUGAUAUAGGGGUUGGAAUGGAAUUAUGACAUUUGUAUUAGCUUUGUGGUGUCAUUUAGGAUGUAUAUGUAAAAUGUCAAGUUAUUCAGAUGUGGUUUGGUUGGGCUUUUGAUCAAAAGCGUAAUUCAGAAGAUUUUAGAAACUUAGGCUUGAAUCCAAGGUGUUUUGGUUGAUUUGAUGUUGUUUUAGUGUUUUUAUGAUUGGAACAAGUUUGAAUGAGGUAUUGGAUAUGUUUGUGAUUUUAGUUGAGGCCCCGGUGGCUUCAGGGUGAUUUUAGAUGGUUAACGGAAGAGUUGAGAUGUUAAUGCAACAACUGAAGUUUGCUACUUCUAGUGUUUUCGGCGCCUCACAUGCGAUGGAAUGGUCGCAGAAGCAGAUUAUGAGGAUUUUCCAAUGACUGCAAAAGCGGUAUGGAUGGCCGCAUCUGCGAAGUCGCAGAUGCGGAAGGCGUAUCAGAGAUGCGACUUUUAGGCUGUUAGUGAUUUCCGUAGAAGUGGAGGAUUUAACCGCAAAUGCAGUACCGCAGACGCGAGUUUUGGACAGCAGAUGCGAGCGUCCCUGGGCAUGAUGUAUAUAAGUAUUCCUUCGCGAUUUUUGAAGGGUUUCACCAUUUUAAUACACAGAUUCAGGAGCUUUGGGAGAUUUUGAAGAGAGAAAUCAAGGAGACUUCGUUAAGGUAAGGAUUUUGGGCCUAAAACACACUUCUAAGUAGUAUUUCAUGGAUUAAGGUUGUAAUCAAAGGAAUUAAAGGGCUAAACAUGGGGUAUUAGAGCUUGAGUUUAAUAGGCCUUUAAAUGAGGAUUUGAGGGGUCAUUUGGACCCCUAUUUUAGUAUUCUUAAUAUGUACACACUCAGGGGAUGAUAAGGAUUCCGUUGAUGUAAAAAUUAUUGAAUUUCGAGUCGUGGGCUCGGGGGUCGAGUUUUGGUAAUUUUGGGAUUUGCACCCUUUAUUGACUGUCUUUGCUUGGGCUUCAUUCCCUUAGCAUAUUUUGACGUCAUCGUUCUGAUUUUGGAUAGAUUCGAUGUGCGUGGCGGCCGAUUCGAGGGACAAAGUCAUUGCAAGCUAGAGAGUUAGUCGAUUCGAGGUGAGUAAUGAAUAUAAAUAAUGUUUUGAGGGUUUGAAACCCCGGAUUUCACAUUGUAGCGCUAUAUUAAGGUGAGACACAUGCUUGAUGACGGGCGUGGGGCCAUGCACUAUUGGGGAUUGUAACUUGGUCCGUCCCGAUUGAUGAUCUUACCUCGUAUGUGGUUUGAAACAUAUUUACUCUCAAUACGAUUUGGUUGAAUGCCAUAUUUGGGCUUCGUGCCAAUUAUUUAAACCCUCAGGGGAUUUUAUUACUAUUUCCUCACUGUUUUGACUAAUUACUUGAACUCAAUUGUCACGACCCGGAUUUACCCACCAUCAGAAAUUGUGAUGGCGCCUACUGUCGGAGCUAGGCAAGCCAACUUUUAAAAUCAUUUCAAGAAAAUUUAAGUCUAAAAAAGGUUAAAUGCUAAAAUAAUUAGUUAAAACAUGCGGAAGACGUCAAAUAACAGUAACGAAGAUCAAUAUGCGGAAGAUUAAUAACCAAUCUCUACCUAGUAUCUGGUGUCACUGCUCGCGGACUACUAAUAGAGUGCAAAAAUAAUAGUCUGAAAGAAGUACAUAUUUGGUACAAUUUAACAAACAGAAAGGGAAAGAUAGAGGAGACUCGAGGCCCCCGAACGCCUGCAAACUACCUCAGAGCCUCUGAACUGAAGGAUCACUCCCGGUAUAAGGAUGCGGUCCAUAAACUGGGUCCUGACCUGUGCACAAAGAGGCACAGAAGCGUAGUAUCAGCACAACAAACCCCAUGUACUGGUAAGUGUCCGGCGUAACCUCGGCGAGGUAGUGACGAGGCUAACUAGACCUAACAUAAACAACCUGUACAUAUAUAUACGAUAACAAAAAAGGAAAACAAGAAUUUAAACAACAAAAAGGGAGGGAACAUGCUAGGGGGAAUAGCAGUUCAAUUAUCACUUCUAGAGAUGGAACUAAAUAUAUAAUACUUAAACAAGAAAACCAAUGAAUCAAUGGCUGCACGGCACCACCCGUCGUGCUUUUACUCUCAUUCCUUACCAAAAUAGUCAAGUAUAAUGCACGGCAUCACCCUUCGUGCUUUUACUCUCAUUUCUCACCAAGAAUGUCAAAUACAAGGCACGACAUCAUCAUUCAUGCUUUUACUCUCGAUAAACAGUGCACGGCACCACCCAUCGUGCUUUUACUCUUGUCCUCUCCCAAUCAAUAGCACCACUACAUCUCGUGGAGGAAAUCAAUAUAUACCACUCCAUCUUGUGGAGGAAAUCAAUAAAAACCACUCCAUCUUGUAGAGGAAAUCAAUAAGUACACGGCAUUACCCAUUGUGCGUUAUCGCUCCUCCUCACCCAAACAAUAAUCAAAAUUAAUGGGAAAAGGAGUAGACAACAAGAUUAACCAUCCCGGCAAGGGAGAACAAUGCAAAAACAAGUCCCGGUAAGGGAAACAAUUAACAACAAAUCCCGGCAAGGGAAAAUCACCACCAACUAGUCUCUAGUUCAUUUAUUUAUCAUCUUUCACUUCAUAGCUCUUAUAACAAGAAUUUAUCCCAAUUUUUCACUUCUUUCACAAUUCUAAUAACAAUGACAACACUGUCAUGCUCGACUCGGGCGCAUAGGUAACCGUCACCAUACCUAUACACCGACACCACAUAACACACAGCAAUUAACAACCUAAUCCUACUCCCUCAAGCCAAAGUUAGAUCGAACACUUACCUCGAAGGCUUCUAACUCAACUCAUGCUUCUAGAAUAGCUUUACCCCUCGAAUUUUCUUCAAAACUGGUCAAAUCUAACCAUAAUUUUUUCAAAUGUAUUAACAAAUGCUAGUUAACUCAAUUUGAAUGCAAAAGAAUGAGAUUCCCAAAGUUCUACUCAAAAAUUCCCAAAAUUCCCCCAAGCCCACGUGGUAAAAACAUGAGGUUCGAAUAAAAACCGGGUAACCCAUUCCCCAUGAGUUCAUAUAUGCAAUUUGUUUUGAAAUCGGACCCCAAAUUGAGGUUUAAAUCCCCAAUUUUAUGAAAACCUAGGUUCUACCCCAAGUCCCCAUUUUUACCCAUUGAAAGCUUUGAUUUUAAGUUGAAAUCAUGAUAAAAGAUGUUAAAGCCAAAUUUCCAAUUUUAUGAAAACCAACUAUCUACCCCAAAUCCCCCAUUUUUAACAAUGAAAGCUUUGAUUUUAAGGAUGAAAUCAUGUUAGAAUAAGAUAAAUAUUAAAGAAAACUAGUAAAAAUUAACUUACAUUUGGUUUGAGGACGAAAGGGUUCGAGAGGAAUCAUGUAUGGUGGUUUUGGGUUUUAAAAGAUAUGAAAAAAAUUAGGUUUAAAUUCGUUUAUGUAACCGUUAAACAGACGCAGAUCUCGCAAUUGUGAGAAAGAGUUCGCAAUUGCGAACUGAGUAGCAAGAAGGACGAUCGCGCAUUUGCGAGAUAAGCGGUCACAAAUGCGAACUGGCAAGGAACAAAGAGCGAUCAAAUUUACGAGAUUAGACUUUGGAAUUGCGAAGUCUUGUUGCCAGGGGAAAUAUCGCAUUUGCGAUAUAAACAUCGCAUUUGCGAUGACAAAUCCAAACAGGGGAUGUUUGCAUUUGAGAACAUGUAUUCGCAAUUGCGAAGACUACAGACACCAGCAGUGAGAUGCAACAGAAAAUUAGCCUAACACCUAUCCGAACUCACCCGAGCCCUUGUGGCUCCAACCCAAACAUGCACCCAACCUCAAAAACAACCUAUGGACUUACUCGUGCGAUCAAAUCGCCAAUAUAACAUCUAAAUCAAAGAAUCAACCUCCAAAACUCAUGAUUUUCAUUUCAAGUUCAAAAUUUUUAAACUUUUCCACUUUUAGUUCAAAACACGUCAAACGAUGUCCGAUUCCAAUGAAACUUCACAUAUAGUGCUUAACAAUUAUUUAUGACUUGUACCGGGCGUCAGAACCAAAAUACGAGCCCGGUACCACUAUUUUUGAUCAAUUUCCAUUUUCAUUUUUCCUUACGCAUAUUCAUAAAACAAUUUCACAGAAAAAUUUCGAACUCGGUCCUGGGACCUCGGAUUUCGAUUCCGGGAAUAUACCCGGGUCCCAAAUUUAAUUACGGACCCUCAAGGACCGUCACAUCAGGGGUUCGGGUCCGUUUACCCAAAAUGUUGAUCACAGUCAACCAUUGAAAUAUUGGUAUCAAAAUUCAUAGUUUUUAACACAGGAUUCAAAUAUUUUCACAUAAAAAUUUCCGGCUUUGCGCCCGGACUCCACACGCAAAUCGAUCCAACCCAGUAAGAGGCUUUCAAGGCCUUAGAAACACAAGGAAAGGGAGAAUUACGGUAAUGACCCUCUGGGUUGUCACAUCCUCCACCUCUAAAACAACUGUUCGUCCUCAAACGGACAAAAGAAGGAAGUACCUGAGUCGGGGAAUAGAUGGGGAUAACGGCUCUGCAUAUCAGAGUCGGACUUCCAGGUCGAUGCCUCAGGAGGCUGACCUCUCCACUGAACACACACCGAAGGAAAACCCUGCGACCUCAAUUGUCGAACCUGCCGGUCUAAAUUAGCCAUCGGCUCCUCCUCAUUUGAUAGAUCCUUGUCCAAUUGGACAGUACUGAAAUCUAACACGUGGGUGGGAUCGCCAUGAUACUUCCGAAGCAUGGAUACAUGAAAAAUCGGAUGCACAGCUUACAAGCUAGGCAACUAUGCAAGCCUAUAAGCCACCUUCCCCACAAGGUCAAGAAUCUCAAAUCGGCCAAUAUACCUUGGGUAAGCUUGCCCUUCAUACAAAUCCUCAUCACGCCCUUCAUAGGCGACACACGGAGCAAUACUCGCUCACCAACCAUGAAAGCAACAUCCCUGACCUUACAGUCUGCAAUACUCUUCUGCCUAGACUGAGCUGAUCGAAGUCUAUCCUGAAUGAUCUUGACCUUAUCCAAGGCCUCCUGUACCAAAUCCACACCCAAUAACCGAGCCUCUCCUGGCUCAAACCAUCCUACUUGGGACCGACACCGCCUAUCACACAACGCCUCAUAUGGAGCGAUUUGAAUACCGGAAUUGUAGCUGUUGUUGUAGGCAAACUCCGCUAACGGCAAGAACUGGUCCCACGAGCCUCCAAAAUCAAUAACGCAGGCUCGGAGCAUAUUCUAAAGAAUCUGAAUGGUCCUCUCGUACUGACUGUCCGUCUGGGGGUGAAAUGUUGUACUUAAAUGGACCUGGUUACCCAACUCAUGUUGCAUCGCUCUCCAGAAAUACAAAGUAAAGUGCAGACCCCGAUCUGAAAUAAUAGAUAUGGGCACCCCAUGAAGACGAACGAUCUCCCUGAUAUAAAUCUUUGCAUACCUCUUGGAUGAAUAAGUGGUGGAAACUGGGAUGAAAUGUGCUGACUUAGUCAGCCUAUAAAAAAUAACCCAUAUAUAUCUAACUUCUUCCGAAUCAUUGGAAGGCCAAUAACAAAAUCCAUAGUGACCCUCUCCCACUUCCACUCGGGAAGCUCAAUCCUCUGAAAUAACCCACUAGUCCUCUGAUGCUCGCACUUAACCUGCUGACAAUUUAUACAACGAGCCACAUAUGCAACAAUGUCUUUCUUUAUUUUACGCCACCAGUAAUGUUGUUUCAAAUCCUGAUACAUCUUCGCGGUGCCCGGAUGAAUAGAAUACCGAGAGCUGUGGGCCUCUUUUAAGAUCGACUCUCAAAUACCAUCAACAUUGGGCACACAAACUCGCCCCUGCAACCUCAAUAUGCCAUCAUCUCCCAUAUACAGUAUAAGGCCCAGAUCCCGUGUGCAAAACCAAUACCGGUGCCGUAGUUAGAGCUAUGUUGAGAUUUCUGAAGCUCGCCUCGCAGUCAUAUGACCAUUUGAACUGGGCACCCUUCUGAGUCAAUUUAGUCAUCGGGGUUGCAGUGGAUGAAAAUCACUCCAUAAAACGCCUAUAGUAACCAGCUAACCCCAAGAAGCUCCGAAUAUCUGUAGCUGAAGAUGGUCGAGGCCAGUUAUUGACUACCUCUAUCUUCUUUGGGUCCACCUGAAUACCCUCUGCUGAUAGGACAUGACCUAGGAAUACUACUGAUCUCAACCAAAAUUCACACUUUGAGAAUUUGGCGUACAACUGGCUAUCCUUCAGAGUCUGAAGAACCACUCUGAGCUGCUGCUCAUGCUCCUCCUGACUGCGGGAGUAUACNNNNNNNNNNNNNNNNNNNNNNNNNNNNNNNNNNNNNNNNNNNNNNNNNNNNNNNNNNNNNNNNNNNNNNGAUUAUACCAAGAUAUCAUCAAUGAAUACAAUCACAAAUAAAUCCAAGUAAGGCCUGAACACUCGGUUCAUCAACUCCAUGAAUGCUGCCGGGGCACUGGUCAUCCCAAACGACAUGACCAAAAAUUCAUAAUGUCCAUACCGAGUACAAAAAGUUGUCUUAGGGACAUCAGACGCCCUAAUCCUCAACUGAUGAUAACCAGAACUCAAAUCUAUCUUCGAUAAUACAUUAGCAUCCUGAAGCUGGUCAAACAAAUUGUCAAUCCUCGGUAGUUGAUAUUUGUUCUUUACUGUCACCUUGUUCAACUGCCGGUAAUCAAUGCACAUCAUCAUUGACCCGUCCGUUUUCUUCAAAAACAACCCUGGCGCACCCCAAGGUGAUACACUGGGUCUAAUGAAACCCUUAUCAAGAAAAUCCUGAGGCUAUUCUUUCAACUCUUUCAACUCUGGCGGGGCCAUACGAUAUGGCGAAAUAAAAAUAGGCUGAGUGCCAGGAGCCAAAUCAAUACAGAAGUCAAUAUCCCUGUCGGGCGGCAUACCCGGUAGGUCUGAAGAAAAAACCUCGGGGAACUCCCGAACAAUAGGGACAGAGUCGAUAGAUGGGACCUCUGCCCUGGAGUCGCGAACAUACGCAAAAUACGCCUAAAUACCUCUUCUCGACCAUACAUCGAGCCUUGACAUACGAAAUAACACUACGGUUGGCAUGACCUGGGGUCUCUCUCCACCAAGUCUUGGCGGAACCCACAAGCCUGAAAGUGCAAAAAUGGACCUCAUUGGUCUCCACUAUCCCCAUAGUCCUGAGGAUCUCAUGACAACAAAACAGAAAAUCCUGUGGAUCCUCCGAUGAAGCACCACUGAAAGUGGUAGUUAAGAGCUUGGAGAACCGAUCAAGUCUCCACAAAGCAUCCGAAGACAUGGCCGACCCAUAUCCGGCCUAAGCUAUAAUACCUGUCUGAGCCGCCAUUGCGGGCUGAACCAAGGGAACCUGAGUCUGGGGAGAUACCUUCUCCAGAGUACGUGUAGCAGGAGCUUGAAGCCCUCCUCCAGCCUGAGAAGUGGCUGGUGCUAUUGGCAGCAAUCCCGCUUUGGCCACACUGUCUAUAAAGCAUGCUAUGUGGACAAAGGCAUCCUGAAGAUCCGAAGAAAACAUCACUCCUCCUGGGACCUGAGCUGAACCCACUGGAGCUGGUGGAGCUGGAACCUCCUCAUCAAAGUAAAUAUGAGGCUCCACCUCUGGAACUGCUACAUUGGGCUGAUCUCUGCCCCUGCCACCGCCUCGGCCCCUGCACGUGUUCUCGCCAUCUGUGAAAGAACAGAGUAGAACGACAAUCAAUACUUGAGAAAAUGAAUCGCAUGACAAGAAUGAACAAAGUGAAACUUUCCUAACUCAGUAGCCUCUGGGGGAUAAAUACAGAUGUCUCCAUACUGAUCCGUCGGACUCUACCGGGCUUGUCCGUGAGUUGUGAUACCCAAGUAACCCAGUGCUCUGAUACCAACUUGUCACGACCCGAAUUUACCCACCAUCGGGAAUCUUGAUGGCCUCUACUGUCAGAGCUAGGCAAGCCAACCUUUAUAAUCAUUUCCAGAAAAUUUAAGUCUAAAACAGGUUAAGUGCAAAAAUAAUUAGUUAAAACAUGCGGAAGACGUCAAAUAACAGUAACAAAAUCAAUAUGCGGAAGACUAAUAACCAAUCUCUACUCAGUAUCUGGUGUCACUGCUCACGGACUACUAAUAGAGUGCUAAAAAUAAUAGUCUGAAAGAAGUACAUAGCAUGUCUGUUUGGUACAGUUUAACAAACUGAAAGGGAAAGAUAGAGGAGACUCAGGGCCCGCGAAGGCCUGCGAACUACCUCAGAGCCUAUGGACUAAAGGAUCACUCCUGGUCUAAAGAUGCGGUCCGUAAACUGGGUCCUAACCUGUGCACAAAAAGGCACAGAAGCGUAGUAUCAGCACAACUGACCCCAUGUGCUGGUAAGUGUCCGACCUAACCUCGGCGAGGUAGUGACGAGGCUUACCGUACCUACCAUAAACAACCUGUACAGAUAUAUAAGAUAACAAAAAAGGAAAACAAGAAUUUAAACAACAAAAAGGGAGGGGACAUGCUGGGGGGAAUAACAGUUCAAUUAUAAUUUCUACAAUUAAGAGAUGGAACCGAAUAGAUAAUACUUAAACAAGAAAAACAAUGAAUCAACGGCUGCACGGCAUCACCUUUCGUGCUUUUACUCUCAAUCCUUACCAAAAUAGUCAUGUAUAAUGCACGGCAUCACCCUUCGUGCUUUUACUCUCAUUUCUCACCAAGAAUGUCAAAUACAAGGCACGACAUCACCUUUUCGUGGUUUUACUCUCGAUAAACUGUGAAGGCACCACCCAUCGUGCUUUUACUCUCGUGCUCACCCAAUCAAUAGCACCACUACAUCUCGUGGAGGAAAGCAAUAUAUACCACUCUAUCUUGUGGAGGAAAUCAAUAAAUACCACUCCAUCUUGUGGAGGAAAUUAAUAUAUACAACUCCAUGUUGAGGAGGAAAUCAAUGUAUACCACUUCAUCUUGUGGAGGAAAUCAAUAAGUACACGGCAUCACCCAUCGUGCUUUAUCGCUCCUCCACACCCAAACAAUAAUCACAAUUAAUGGGAAAAGGAGUAAACAAAAAGAUUAACCAUCCCGGCAAGGGAGAUCAAUGCAAUAACAAGUCCCGGAAAGGGAAACAAUUUAACAACAAGUCCCGGCAAUGGAAAAACACCAAAAACUCGUCUCUAGUUCAUUUACUUCUCAUCUUUCACUUUGCAGCUCUUAUAACAAGAAUUUAUCCCAAUUUUUCACUUCUUUCACAAUUCUAAUAAACGUGACAACACAGUCAUGCUCGACGCGAGCGCAUAGGUAACCGUCACCAUACAUAUACACCGACUCCAUAUAGCACAUAGAAAUUAACAACCUAAUCCUAUUCCCUCAAGCCAAAGUUAGAUCGAACACUUAUCCCGAAGGCUUCCAACUCAACUCACGCCUCUAGAAUAGCUUUACCCCUCGAAUUUGCUUCAAAGCUGGUCGAAUCUAACCAUAAUUUACUUAAAUGUAUUAACAAAUGCUAGUUAAAUCAAUGUGAAUGCAAAAGAAUGAGAUUCCCAAAGUUCUACUCAAAAAUUCCAAAAAUUCCCCCAAGCCCACGUGGUAAAAACAUGAGGUUCGAAUAAAAACCGGGUAACCCAUUCCCCAUGAGUUCAUAUAUGCAAUUUGUUUUGAAAUCGGACCCCAAAUUGAGGUUUAAAUCCCCAAUUUUAUGAAAACCUAGGUUCUACCACAAAUCCCCCAUUUUUAACCAUGAAAGUUUUGAUUUAAGGAUGAAAUCAUGUUUGAAUAUGAUAAAGAUUAAAAAAAACUAGUAAAAGUUGACAUACAUUUGGUUUGGGGACGAAAGGGUUCAAGAGGAAUCGUCUAUGGUGGUUUUGGGUUUUGAAAGAUAUGAAAAAAAUGAGGUUUAAAUUCGUUUAUGUAACAGUUACAUAGACGCAAAUCUCGCAAUUGCGAGAAAGAGUUCGAAAUUGCGAACUGAGCAGCAAGUAGGAGGAUCUCGUAUUUGCGAGAUAAGCGGUCGCAAAUGCGAACUAGCAAGGAACAAAGAGGGAUCGCAUUUGCGAGAUAAGACUUCGGAAUUGCGAAGUCUGGUUGCCAGGGGAAAUAUCGCAUUUGUGAUAUAAACAUCGCAUUUGCGAUGACAAAGCCAAACGGGGGAUGUUCGCAUUUGCGAACAUGUCUUCGCAAUUGCGAAGACUACAGACACCACCAGUGAAAUGCAACAGAAAAUGAGCCUAACACAUAUCCGGAACUCACCCGACCCCUCGGGGCUCCAACCCAAACAUGCACCCAACCUCAAAAACAUCCUACGGACUUACUCUUGCGAUCAAAUCGCCAAAAUAACAUCAAAAUCAAAGAAUCAACCUCCAAAACUCAUGAUUUUUCGUUUCGAAGUUCUAAACUUUCAAUUUUUUCCACUUUUAGUCCGAAAAAUGUCAAACGAUGUCUGUUUUCAACCAAAUAUUACAGAUAGCGCUUAACUCCCAUUUAAGACUUGUACCGGGCUUUUCAAACUUUUCCACUAUUAGUCCAAAGCACGUCAAACGACGUCCAAUUCCAAUGAAACUUCACAGAUAGUGGUUAACAAUUAUUUAUGAAUUGUACCGGACGUCAGAACCAAAAUACGAGCCCGAUACCACUAUUUUGAUCAAUUUCCGUUUUCAUUUUUCCUUAUGCAUAUCCAUAAAACAAUUUCACACAAAAAUUCCGAACUCUGGCCUGGGACCUUGAAUUUUGAUUCUGGGAAUAUGCCCGGGUCCCAAAUUCAAAUACGAACCCUCCGGGACCGUCACAUCACGGGUCUGUUUACCUAAAACAUUGACCAAAGUCAACCAUAGCAAUAUUGAAAAAUUCAUAGAUUUUAACACAGGAUUCAAAUAUGUUCACAUAAACAAUUUUCGGCUUCGCGCCCGGACUGCGCACGCAAAUCUAGGCAACCUAAUAAGAGGUUUUCAAGGCCUCAGAAACAGAAGGAAAGGGAGAAUUACAGUGAUGAACCUCUGGGUCGUCACAUCAAUCAUGUUAGUUUCCACUGUUUUCAUACUCAGUCAUGUUUAUUCCAUUUUAAGACUUAAAUGAUAUUUUGAAUGAUGCUUGGGAUGAGCAACACUGUUUUAUUAUUGCCCGAGGUGAUUGUGAGUAUUUUUGACUGAGUAAGGCUGAUGGCCUAUGUUGUGAGGAAACACUGAUACUGGUUUGAGGACGAGGGUCUGAGAUAUGUACGCCACGAGGUGGAUUGAUUGAUAUGAGGCCGAGGGCCUAGUUUUGAUUCCAUGAGAUGGCUUGUUAUUGCGCUUGGGCCGUAAGGGUCCCCUCCAGGAGUCUACAUAUCCCAAGUGAGUGUAGGUACCCAUUAUGAUGUGAGAUUGAGCCCGAGGGGCUAGUACUGUUAUCAGAUAUUGCCCAAGGGGCGGAUUUGUUGAUACUGUGCCCGAUUGAAGAAAUUUUAUUUGUUUACCUUACCUUAAUUGUCAGUCAAUUACAUGUUUAUUGUUGAAAAAAAGAUUUUUACUUGAUAUUUCACUGGUUUAAUGCUUUUAAAUGGUUUUACUGCUUCAUUAUAGAAUUACUUAUGCCUUACGCGUUUUCUUACUUUCAGUCGCUAUUUACAUUUGUUAAUCACUGAGUUGGAGUACUCACUUUACUCCCUGCACCCUAUGUACAGAUUCAGGCGUAGCUGGUUCCACUCCCGAGUGCUGAUCCAUUCCAACUUCAGGCAGUUAUUUGAGGAGUAUUUAGGUAGCUAUUGGUGUUCGCAGCCGAAGCUCCUCCCUAUCUAUCACGACCCGAAUUUUACCACCCUAGGGAGUCGUGAUGGAGCCUACUAAUUGGAGUUAGGAAAGUCAAAUUCAAUCACUUUUUCUCAACCACAUAAUCCUUUUUAAUAAUUAACAACAAUAAGAUAAAAGCAACUGAUUUAACUACACAAGUGGAAGACAUAUUACUAAUGCAAGCUGAAUAACAACGCGGAAGUUCAUCAUAACCUCUACCCAAAAUCUGGUGUCCCAUGACUCACGAACUACUAAUAUUUGCUAAAUAAAACAUCUGAAAAUACAUGAGAUACAUGAUGAAAUAAAGAUAGAGGAGAUACCGGGCCUGCGUACGCCUGCAAGGCUACCUCGGUGUCAUACUAGACUGAAGGCUCGCUUCCAGUCAACUUCUACUGCUUAAAAGCUGCUCCAGUAUCUGCACAUAAGUGCAGAGUGUCGCAUCAGAACAACCGACCCCAUGUGCUGGUAAAUGUCUGGCCUGACCCCGGCGGAGUAGUGACAAGGCUAGGACCAGACUCCAGAGAAACCUGUACAAUUACAUAUAUAUGGCGAAAGAAAAAACAGGAAAUAAAAAAGUAAAAUUGGGGAGGGGAGAACAUGCUCGGCGGAUAGCCAAAAUGCUCAAAAUUCUGAGAAUUGACAAAGAAACCAACUAUAAAGCUGCUAAUACGAAUAAGGAUAGAUAAAACAACUUUCACUUUAAAUGCUCAUCUCAUUGCAGGCGUGCAACCCGAUCCCAUUUCUGAAUUUAUCGUGGUAGGCAUACGACCCGAUUCCAUUUCUCAAUUACUCGUGGUAGGCGUACCACCCGCUCCCAUUUCAUCAUAACUCGUGGUAGGCGUACCAUCUGCUCCCAUUUCAAUCAAUAUCUCUUGGUAGGUGUACCACCAACUCCCAUUUCAUCAUAACUCGUGGUAGGCGUACCACCCGUUUCCAUUUCACCAAUAUCUUGUGGUAGGCGUACCACCCGAUCCCAUUUUAUCAAUAUCUUGUGGUAGACGUACCACCCAAUCCCAUUUCAAUUAAUAUCUUGUGGUAGGCAUACCACCCGAUCCCAUUUCAUCAAUAUCUUGUGGUAGGCGUACCACCCGAUCCCAUUUCAAUCAAUAUCUUGUAGUAGGCGUGCCACCCGAUUUCAUUUCAAUCAAUAUCUUGUGGUAGGCGUACCACCUGAUCCCAUUACUUCCAACACAAUACACAAAAUAAUACCGGCAAGGGAACAAGACAAUGUAAUAACUUCCCGGCACAGUUGAAACCAAUACUCAGUAUCAAGGAUCAUUAAUCAAGGCCUUUAUAGGAUAAAUUAAGAAUUUACAACUAUCAAUUUAAGACCCACGGUCAUGCUCGACAAAAACAUAUGGAUUAUCGUCACCAUGCCCAUACGUCGUACGCAGCACAAACAAGUAGCAAAUACUGUCACACCUUCUUUUUUGUUACACAGAUACUCCGAAGGAUGACGCGUAUAAUGGAGUUUUUCCAAUUAAAGUGACAUUAUCGAAAUGAGAUUAAUUAUUUAUUCAAGAGUCUCCACUUGGGAUAGGUUUGGCUUUUAGUGUCCAAGUCACCGGUUUAUUUGGAAUCCCAAAUCAAGGAAAUUCUUCGACUACCCAAUUGGAGUCUGCGAACCAAAAAUUCUUGAGUAAGAAAUUUAUUUAACCCAAGGGGAAGGUGUUAGGCACCCUCAGAUCCCGUGGUUCUAGCAUGUUCGCUUAAACUAUUAUAAGUGGCUAAUGAAAUUCUAAUUUGUUAUACAUGUUCAAACCUAUAAUACAGUUUUAAAAUAUGAACCACUUUUAAUGUAUAUUUUUUAGGAAAUUGCAAUGUCAUUAAAACACAUCGCGAAUCACGUCACAUAAAUGCGCACACAAAUUUAGACAUAUUUUAACUCCUUUGAGAUUUGGAUUUGGGUCACAUAAAUUCGCAUCCGAGUUUGGGAAGAUAUUUUUAUUAAUAAUUCGUGCCUACAGAAACUACGUCUUUAGAAAUUCGUGGAAGGCCGUGAAAUUUUCUAAACAGCACUUUCAAUUUUCUAUGUCUUUUAUUAAGUUAAGAAGCCUCGCAUAGCGUUUGAUUAGAUUAACGUGGCUCACUUUAUUUUAUACGGGAAUCCUAAAGCAUACUAAGUUUUCUAUCAUACUUGUGUCUAAAAUGUCCUAAUCAUUUAUACAUGGAUAAUACAUUUUGGAGAAGUUCAGUACUUGCAUUUUUUAGCCUCAUUCGUGGCUGAGUUGGGCUUCAUUUUCAGCCAGCCCAGGAAUGUGUAUUGUUAUACCACAACUGGCAGCUAUUGGGCCUCCACCAAUGAGUCCAUUAUAAGAGAAUAACAGUCAGCCCUUCUCUCAAUUAUACCAUAGUAAUGAAAACUGUAUACAUGAUUAUUAUAAAAUAUACCAAUCUAUAUUGAAGAAAACAAUUUGGGAUACUCAUCAUUCAAAGUAUACAUAUCCAGUUGUCAAAACUCUACCAUAACUUCAAGUUACAACACUAAAUAAAUCUGACUAGACUAACUUUAAAGGUAUUAGAAUUUAAACGAAUUAAAAGCACAGUCCUAAUAUAAGUCCAUAAUUAAUACGUGUUCGUGUUUAUUACAAUCACCAACAAUUCUAAGAAAUAAAUACAGUUAUAAUAGGGAAUUGAAACAAAAGUAUUAUUUUCCUCAUUAUCAACCACAAUCGCGAAUAUACAUAAGCAUUAUUUCUCAGCUUUUUAGUGAAGAUGAAUACCUGAAAUUCAGUAAAAUAGAGCCUAUGAGUAAGGUUAAGAGAGUAGCAAGCCAAAAACAACAGCCAAUCAACCAAUAAAAUCCCAGAAAACAACUUAGGAAAUUUGAGAGGGCAAAUGAUAACACUAAAUCCCUAAAGCAGCUCAAUAUCAAUCGGAAGAGAACAACACCAAAGGAUUUCUGAAGAAUGUAUAAGACACUAAUAUGUAUUUUAUAUAUUCUAAUUCACUAAGAACUUUUAAAGGAAAAAUCUCCUCGAAAAAUCUCAAAGUCCAGCCCCAUAAAUGUUCAGAUUGCUUAAUUUUUUUUUAUAGUUGAAGCCUUAGGUCAACACCAAUUUCAUUGUUUUCCUUUUAGUCCCUUACCCAUUUUUCAGUUUUACCUAAAUAGUCCUUAGUUUUCUGACUUGUGCCUCAAGUUUGAGGCAGAAAUNNNNNNNNNNNNNNNNNNNNNNNNNNNNNNNNNNNNNNNNNNNNNNNNNNNNNNNNNNNNNNNNNNNNNNNNNNNNNNNNNNNNNNNNNNNGCAAGUCUUUUGUUACAAGAUUUUUUAUGUUCAGAUACCCUUUAUACCCCUUUUCCUUUUUCUAAUUACUGACCUAAGGGUUUUAACCUUGGUUUCCAUUUGUUUGGUCAAAUCUGACCCUAGUUAGUUGCAUUCAGGUUAUGGGCCAAAUUCAAGGUUUGAACUACAAAAUCAAUUAUGUAGAAGUAAACACCCAAAAGAGUUUAAGAAUUGAUCAGUGCACCUCAUGGAUUCAAGCAAACAUCUUCAAUGUAAAUUCUACACUAUUCAGUAACAAGGGAUAAAACCAAAUUAUCAUAGCUUUCAGGAUUAUAUGAACAUUCAUGAAAACUAGACAUCUAAUAGGUGGGCAUGCAGGUUUUUUAAUAUGUCAAAAUGAACCAAAACAAUCAGAAAAGCAACCCCAAUCGACUAAGUGAAUAGAGGGAUUUGGACAUAUAUAUGUGAAAUUGGGCCUGGCUUCAAGGCCGUUGGAUGGCCUCUUGAUCAACGGUUGAGAUGAGUUUUCCCCAAAACGGUGUCGUGUUGGGGCACCCCUGAUGAGCUGGUUCGGAGACCAUCUUAUUCGGCUGGGCAUCUAGCAUUUUACAGGAUAAAAAGGAUUUGGGCCACCCAGGUCUGGCCCAAUUGUGGCCAGCCUGGGUGGUUUAUUAAGAGAUCUAUAUUUUCCUUUUGUUUUCUUAUUUAUUCUUAAUUCUUAAUUGCAUUUUAAAACUCCUAAUCAACUCAAAUCAAUCUAAUAACUACCUAUUAUGCAAAACAAAUAACAAUGCAACAAAUGAAAGUUAAACAAAACAUCUAUUUUAUUAUUUCCUAAUUGCAUUUUGAAAUUUCCUAAUUAACUUAAAUCAACCUAAUAACUACCUAUUAUGCAAAACAAAUAAAAAUGCAAAAAAUAAGAAUUAAAAAAACAAUUAAAAUGCCGGAAAUACCACUUAUUUUUUGAAUUUGGUAUUUGCGAAAAUAAACCUAUUUACCAAUUAAAAGAACGAUUAUGCAAUUUUGUAUAUUUUAUGAUUUUAAGCAUGCACUCAUGAAAACGCACUGACACGCAUAGUUAAAUCCUAAAAAUAAAUAUUUUAAAAGGAAAAAUCCUAAACUUGAGAGUCCUGCAGGAGUCGUCUUAACAGGAUAAAAAUCACAUGCUCACAAAUACGACUCAACUCCUAAUCCCUCAAGCUAGGGUUAAACCAAAUACUUACCUUGAUGCUUUGAACUCAACCCAAGCCUCAAUUAUACCUUUACCCCUCGAUUCCACCAUCAAUCCGCUUGAAUCUAGUCAUAAAUUACUUAAAUACAUUAAGAAAUGCUAAGUGAAUCAAUUUGAAUGAAUAAAAAUGGAUUUCCAAAAGUUUUGGCCAAAAACUCCAAAAUUGCCCCCGGGCCCACGUGGUCAAACCCGAGGUUCAAACCAAAACCCGGUUACCCAUUCCCCCAUGAAUCCAUAUCUAUGAUUUGUUUUGAAAUCGGACCUCAAAUUGAGGUUUAAAUCCCCAAUUUUUGAAGAAAAAUUAGGUUCUACCCAAAAUACCAAAUUUCCCCAUUAAAAUCUUUGAUUUGAAGUUGAAAUUAUAUUAAAAGAUGCUAAGGAGUGAAGAAAAUAGGUUACAAAUCACUUACCAAUCAUUUUGGAGAAGAAAAAUUGUUUGGGAAAUCACCCCUUAUAUUUUGGGUUUUUGAAAAGUGAAAAAUAACGGAGAUUCCCGUGUAUUUAUACCCUUUGAAGUCUCCCAGCGCGGACCGCUCAAAAAGGACGGCGGCCGCACUGGCCGACCUGAAGACCUGAAGGCCUGCGGAUCUUAGCCUUGCGUGGACUGCACAAAGCCGAACACGGCCGCACAGCACCCACCGCGGACCGCGCAAAGGCAACAGCAGCCGCCCUGGCUCUUCCGCGGCCGCACGCGUUUUUGCGUGGACCGUGCUGGAGGGUUCAUAUUCUGCAACAUUUUCGUGAACCUGCAAUACCUGGUCUUUUAAGCCUAAGGCAUCCCAAAACCUACUCAAAACUCACCCAAGGCACCGGGGCUCCAAACCAAACAUACACAUCUCCUCAAAACCAUCUUACGGACUUAUUCGUGCGAUCAAAUCGCAAAUAUAACAUCAUAAACAUUAAAUCGAGCCUCAGAGCUCAUGAUUCCUUCUAAAUUUCCAUAUAACAUCAAAUUCCCAUUUUAAGUUUGAAACACGUUAAACGACAUCCAUUUCAACUAAAUUUUACGGAAAGCGCUUAAACAAUAUACAAGACUUGAAUCGGGCAUCAGAACCAAAAUACGGGCCCGAUACCAUAAUCUUUUAAUCAAAUUUCAUUUCUAAUUUCCUUAAUUAUUUCCAGAAAACAAUUUCACACAACAAUUCCUUUCUCGGGCUUGGGACUUCAGAAUUUGAUUCCGGGCAUACGUCGAAGUCCUAUAUUUUCCUGCGAACCCUCCCAGACCGUCAAAUCAUCGGUCCGGGUCCGUUUACCCAAAAUGUUGAUCGAAGUAAAAGUUAUCCAAUUUAAUAUCAAACUUUAGCAUUUUUCUCACAAAAUUCAUAUUUAAGCUUUCUGGCUAUGCGCCUGGACUACGAAUGCAAUCGAGGCAACCCUAAAUGAGGUUUUCAAGGCCUCGGAGGCACAAAAUGAGUAAAGAAACCAAUGAUGACCCUUUCGGUCGUCACAUUGUCCACCUCUAAAACAACCGUGUUUCUCGAACGGACAAAAGAAAGAAGUACCUGAGUCGGGCAAAAGAUGGGGAUAAUGGCUCUGCAUAUCAGACUCGGACUCCCAGGUCGAUGCCUCAGGAGGCUGACCUCUCCACUAUACACGCACAGAAGGAAAACUCUUCAACUCAACUGUUGAACCUGCCAGUCUAGAAUAGCCACCGGCUCCUCCUCAUAUGACAGAUCUUUUUCCAACUCGACCGUCCUGAAAUCUAACACAUGGAAUGGAUCACCAUGAUACCUCCGAAGCAUGGAUACCUGAAAAACUCGAUGCACGGCUGAUAAGCUAGGCGGAAAUGCAAGCACCUCUCCCACUCAAUCGAGAAUCUCAAAUGGACCAAUGAACCUGGGGAUAAGCUUGCCUUUCUUUUCAAAUCUCAUCACGCCUUUUAUAGCCGAUAUUUAGAGCAAUACCCGCUCACAAACAAUAAAUGCCACAUCUCGAACCUUACAGUCUACAUAACUCUUUUGCCUAGAUUGAGCUGAACAAAGCCUAUCCUGAAUGAUCUUGACCUUGUCCAAGGCCUCCUGAACAAAAUCUUUACACAACAACCGAGCCUCUCCCGGCUCGAACCAUCCAACCGGAGACCGAUGCCGCCUACCAUAUAAAGCCUCAUAGGGAGCCAUCUGAAUGCUCGACUGGCAGCUGUUGUUGUAGGCAAAAUCUGCUAAGGGCAAAAACUGAUCCCAAGAACCUCCAAUGUCAAUGACACAUGCUCAGAGCAUAUCCUCUAAGAUCUGAAUAGUCCACUCGGAUUGACCCUCUGUCUGGGGAUGAAAUGGUGUACCCAACUCCACCUGAGUGCCCAACUCUCGCUGAACUGCUUUCCAGAAAUGCGAGGUAAAAUACUCCCCUGUCCGAAAUGAUAGAUACCGACACACCAUGAAGGCGAAGAAUUUCUCGGGUAUAAAUCUCAGCUAAUCUCUCGGAUGAAUAUGAGACUGCCACAGGAAGGAAAUGUACUGACUUGGUCAGCCUAUCAACAAUGACCCAAACUACGUCAAACCUCUUCCGGGUCAACGGAAGUCCACUAACAAAAUCCAUGAUAAUCCUCUCCCACUUCCACUCGGGAAGCUCAAUCCUCUUAUACAAUCCUCCAGGCCUAUGAUGCUCAUACUUAACCUACUGAUAGUUCAAACAUCGAGACACACACAACAAUAUCUUUCUUCAUCAUACACCACCAAUAAUGCUGCCGCAAAUCUUGAUACAUCUUCGUGUCACCCCGAUGAAUAGAAUACCGGGAACUAUGGGCCUUCGCUAAGAUCAAAUCUCGAAUGCCAUCGACAAUAGGCACGCAAAGUCACCCCUGCAAUCUCAAAAUACCAUCAUCACCUAAGGUCACCUUCUUGGAACCUCCACACUGCACCAUGUCUCUAAGGACACAUAAAUGAGGAUCAUCAAACUGCCAAUCAUGGAUACGCUCACGAAGAAUGAACGACCGUGAAAGCUAACACUCGGCUGGGCUCAGAAAUAUCCAACCUCACGAGUCAAUUGGCCAAGGCCUGAACAUCCAAAGCAAGUGGUCUCUGGCUGACCGGAAUGUAAGCAAGAUUGUCCAUACUGGCUGACUUCCUACUCAAUGUAUCAUCCACCACAUUGGCCUUCGUCGGGUGAAUAAAAUGGUGAUAUCAUAGUCCUUCAACAACUCCAACCACCUCAUCUACCUCAAAUUAAACUCCUUUUGCUUGAACAAGUACUAAAGACUCUUAUGGUCAGUGAACACUUUACAUGCCACGCCAUACAAAUAGUUCCUCCAAAUCUUUAAGGCGUGAACAAUGGUUGCCAACUCUAGAUCAUGAACCGGAUAGUUCUUCUCGUGAAUCUUCAUCCUGCAUCAACAUUGCACCAAGCUCCAUACGGGAAGCAUCACAAUAUACUUUGUAUGGCCCAGAUUCUGUGGGCAAAACCAACACCAGUGCCGUAGUCAAAGCUGUCUUGAGCUUCUGAAAGCUCACCUCACACUUGUCCGACCACCUGAACUGGGCACCCUUCAAGGUCAACCUUGUCAUCAAGCUGCAAUAGAUGAAAACCUCUCCACAAACCGAUGAUAGUAGCCCGCCAAUCCCAAGAAGCUCCGAAUCUCUAUAGCUGAUGCUGGUCUAGGACAGUUCUUGACUGCCUCAAUCUUCUUCGGGUCCACCUGAAUACCCUUUGGUGAUACAACGUGACCAAGAAAUGCUACUGAAUUCAGCCAAAACUCGCACUUGGAGAACGUGGCAUAUAACUGACUAUCCCUCAUAGUUUGAAGAACAACUCUAAGGUGCUGCUCGUGCUCCUCAUAGCUGUAGGAGUAUACCAAAAUAUCAUCAAUAAAGACUAUCAUGAACAUGUCCAAAUAAGGCGAACACUCGGUUCAUCAACUCCAUAAAUGUUUCUGGGGCAUUGGUCAACCCAAACGACAGGACCAAGAACUUAUAAUGCCCAUACCUAGUGCGAAAAGCUGUCUUACGGACAUCGGAUGCCCUAAUCCUCAACUGAUGGUAGCCAGACCACAAGUAAAUCUUUGAAAAUACCCUGUCACCUUGAAGCUGAUCGAACAAAUCAUCAAUCCUUGGCAGUGGAUACUUAUUCUUGAUUGUUACCUCGUUCAAUUUCUGGUAAUCAAUACACAUUCUCAUUGACACAUCCUUCUUCUUGAUGAACAACACCAGCACACCCCAAGGCGAUACAAUGGGCCUAAUAAAGCAUUCUCCAACAAGUCCUGCAACUGAUCUUUUCACUCUUCAAUUCAAGCGAGGCCAUACGAUAUGGCAGGAUAGAAACGGGCAGAGUGCUUGGAGCCACAUCAAUGAAAAAGUCAAUAUCCCUGUUGGGUGAUAUAACCGGUAUGUUUGAAGGGAACACAUAAGGGAACUCUCGAAAAAUGGGAAUAGAAUCAACAGAGGGGACCUCAGCAUUGGACUCACAUACAUAAGCAAAAUAAGCCAAACACCCCUUCUCGACCAUACGUGGAGCCUUCACAUAUGAGAUAACACUACGAGUGGAAUGACCAAGAGUCCCUCUCCCACUCUAAACGGGGCAAAUCUGGUAAUGUUAAGGUCACGGUCUUGGCAUGGCAAUCCAAGACAACAUUAUACGGGGACAACCAAUCCAUCCCUAAUAUGACAUCAAAGUAGACCAUGUCUAAAAGCAACAAAUCAACACAGGUCUCAAGACCCCCAAUCACCGCAACACAUGAAUAAUGAACUCGGUCAACCAUGAUAGAAUCACCCACCGGUGUAGACACAUAAACAUGAAUACUUAAUGCAUCACUAGGAAUGACUAGGUAUGGUGCAAAAUAAGAUGACAUAAACGAAUACGUAGACCAUGGAUCAAAUAGCACUGAAGCACCUCUAUCAAAAACCAGAAUAAUACCUGUAAUGACUGCAUCUGAACACUCAGCCUUUGGUCUGGUUGGAAGAGCAUAGCACUAGGGCUAGGCCCCACCUCCUUGAACCACAUCUCUAGGACGGCCAAAUUCUAGCUGGCCUCCACCCCUGGCGACCUAAGCUCCACCUCUAGCACCUCUAUCCUCGCCUCUAGCCGGCUGGGCAGGCUGUGGAGCAUCUGGUGCCUGUAACAUGGCAUAAGAACCCUGCUAUGAAGAACUGCUCGAAGCUCGAGGACAAUACCAAGUAAUGUGCCUCGUGUCUUCACAAGUAAAACAAGCUCUAGGCUACUGGGACUAGCGACCCUGGAAACUCUGAAGCGGUGGUGCACUGAUAGCUGCUGAUGAUGUACUAUAAGGCUGCUGAUUAGAAUAAUGUGGCUGAGAACCACGACCACUAGAAGUACUAUGAGAAACCUGGAGUGUUGACUGGAAGGGUCUAGGAGGAUGAACCCUAUUGUAUGAAUCUUUGCCUCCAGAUGAGGCACCACUGAAUCAUCCUGACUGACAGGGCCUCUUGUCUACUCAAUUACAACCCCCAUGUGGCAAUACCUUCUCUAUCCUCCGAGCCACAUUGGCCACCUCCUGAAAAGUGAUAUCACUUCCCAACCCGCUAGCCAUCUAGAGACAAAUAGGCUGGAUGAAUCCAUCAGUAAACCGUCUCACUCUCUCCCUCUCAGUGGGGAGUAUGACAAUAGCAUGGCGAGCCAACUCAAUAAACUUGGUCUCGUACUGGGUGACUCACAUGGGCCCCUAAUGAAGAUGCUCGAACUGCCUCAGAUAUGCUUCACACCGUGUGAUAGGGAAAUACUUCUCCAGUAAUGUAUGCAUGAACUGCUCCCAGGUCAAGGGUGGAGACCCUACUGGUCUAGCUAUACAGAAUUCCCUCCACCAAGUCUUGGCAGAUCCAGAUAGGCAAAAUAAAGCAAAAUCAACUCCAUUGGACUCAACAAUACCCAUGUUCCGAAGAACCUCGUGGCAGCUAUCCAAAUAAUCUUGAGGGUCCUGCUGAGUGCACCGCUAAAGGUGGUAGUGAAGAGCUUGGUGAACCUAUCCAACCUCUACUAGGCAUCUGCGGACAUAGCCGCUCUGCCGCUGGUCUGAACAACCACUCUCGUCUGGACUGCCAUAGCUGGCUAAACCACUGGAAUCUGAACCUGGAGAGCUACCUGCUUCGGAGUACGAGUAGCAGGAGUCUCGGCCCCUCCUCCAGCCUAAGAGAUGGCUGGUGCUACUGGAAGAAAAAAUGCUCGGGUAACACUCUCCAUGAUACCCACCAAUAAGACCAAAGCAUUCUGAAGGCCUAGGGUAGAAAUAAAACCCUCUGGAACAUGAAAUGGGGCCACCAGAAUUGCUGGAGCUAGGGCUGGAAACCUCCUUGUCGAAGUCAACCUGAGGCUCCGCCACUGGUGCUACUGCUCGAGGCUGAGCUCUGCCCCUACCUUGGCCUCUAUCAAGGCCUCGGCCUCACCCUCUUCCCCUAAUAGGGGCUUCCUGGGGCUCAGACAGCUGAUUAGAAGAUGAAGAAGUGCGUGUUCUCGCCAUCUCUGAAAGAAUAGAGUAGAUAGACAAUUAGUAUCUAUAACAGAACUGCACGAUAAAAAAGAACGAAUGUGAAGUUUCCCUAAAUCUAUAGCCUGGGAAAUAAAUAUAGGCGUCUCCGUACUGAUCCUUCAAACUCUACUAAGUUUGUCCGUGUGUUAUGAGACCUAUGUAACCUCGUGCUUUGAAACCAACUCAUAACGACCCAAAUUUUUCCAACCUCGGGAGUCGUGAUGACGCCUACUAAUGGGAGCUAGGCAAGCCAAAUUCAAUCACUUUUCCUCAACCACAUAAUCCUUUUUAAUAAUUAACAACAAUAAGAUAAAAGAAACUGAUUUAACUAAACAAGCAGAAGAUUUUAUAUUAAUGCAAGCUGAAUAACAACGUGGAAGUUCAUCAUAGCCUCUACACAAAAUCUGGUGUAACAUGACUCACGAACUACUAAGAUUUGCUAAAUAUAUUAUAUGAAAGAAAGUGUAAACUUUUUUUCUCUAAAUACAUGGGAUACAAGAUGAAAUAAGGAUAGAGGAGACGCCGGGCCAGCGGAUGCCUACAAGGCUACCUCGGUGUCUUACUGGACUGAAGCCUCGCUUCCAGGCUACUGCUACUACUCAAAAGCUGCUCUAGUAUCUGCACAUAAGUGCAGAGUGUAGCAUCCGCACAACCAACCCCAUGUGCUGGUAAGUGUCUGGCCUAACCCCAGCGAAGUAGUGAUGAGGCUAGGACAUACUCCAAAUAAACCUAUACAAUUACAUAAUAUAUAGCAAAAGAAAAAACAGGAAAUAAAUAACUAAAACUGGGCAUAAGAGAACAUGCUCUGGGGAUAGCAAAAAUGCACAAAAUUCUCAGAACUGACAAAGAAACCAACUAUAAAGCUGCUAACACGAAUACAGAUAGAUAAAACAACUUUUACUUUAAAUGCUCAUCUCGUGGCAGGCGUGCAACCUGAUCAAAU